rnacentral:lncRNA from 1 species
UUUUUUUUUCCAAGUAACCCUUUCACAGUUUUCUGAACAGAAAGAUGCAGUUCAACAACCAUGGUGAGAACUCAGGCAACCAUUAGACAUUUUCAAGGUUUAUGAUGUAUGUGUGUUGAAAACUCUGCUUUGUUUGAGAAGAUAACUGAUCGCGAGAAUAUUGAGGUUCCUUCUCAGUAAAGAGUAUAUAAACAGGAUUUUGAGAUUGUUACAAAAGCAACCAACAGCAGUUUACACUAUUGCUAGUUGAGCUAGAGUUGACUAAUAAAAGAUCUACAGCUGACCAUUGAUCCUAUGCUUGGGCUAACUAAAAUAGAGAAACUAAAAUAAAUAGUUGUAGCCAAAAGUAGUGCAAAUGUUGAAUACCAAAAACCUGUUUUGAAAUUUAGGGAAGGACUGAAUUUGAAAGCUGUUGAAUGAACUAAAGAUAAAAAGUUCAUUCCAAAUAUUUUGUAAUAGACCAAAAACUAUCACAAUAUUGCCAGAAAUCUUGUGCAUCAUGACAGAAGGAUGCAGAUUGCGAUUAGAGCAUCGUUACAUGUCUAAGAAAGUCGACAUCAACAAUACCAUACUGGAACAUACUACAUCCUAUCCCAUCAAAGAAUUUUUGGAGGGGAGAUUUUGAAGAAUCCAACACGAAAGUUUAAUUAAUUUUUUUAAAAAAGGUCCUUUUAUGUAAAACUUUAAGGUGGGGGAUUUGAACUAGGACCUCUUGCCCUCAAAAACAUAUAGAUUGCCCUCAAAAACAUAUAGAUGCCAGUUAAUGAAAGUUUGACUUUUAUUCUAUAUAUAUAUAUAUAUAUAACCCAACUUGAUAGGUGUGUAAAUUUCUAUUAACUAAAAACAUUUUAACUUUUUUUAGAUUCGAUUAGUUUAUCUUUUAAUUAUUUUUCAUUAUAUAGAUCUUUCUAGUUGAGAAUAUCUCCCAAAUUACAGCUAGAAUUUUUGUUGGUAAAUUCCAACUAUAUUAACAUUACUUGCAACUAAUUUUUAUCUUGAAUGGGUAUUAGUGAAUCAAUUUCACCCAAAACUACAAAUCCAUGAAAAUAAAGUUCCUUUAUAUAAAAAAUUAAAACAAAGAGGAAUUAAACAAAGAAUCAAAAUAUUGCAUGUAAGAUUUAGAAAGAAAAAACCGCGACAAUUGAACUUUCCACGUAGAAGUAAGAGUACUCACAUAUUUUGGAGUUGAAAUGCGAAACCAAUAUAGGAGAAAUCCCACCAAUUUUUCAUAACACUCGCUACAUUGAGGGAAAAAACAAUUCCAAGUCAUGAAUACGUAUUGCAUGGUACCAUAAUAACGAUAUCAACUAUGAGAAACAACAAAAUGGAUGGCAAAAGAGCUUUAACCUGAAGUGGUAGGAGACGAGAUACAUAUUUGAAAUGAAAAUAAUAUUUUUCAUCAGACUAUAACCUUAUAACCUUACUAGUCUAUGUGGAUGAUAUUCCAAAAAAGUGAGGAUCCAUAUUGCACAGGCCAUCCAUACUGAGUUUAAAUUAUUAGUUAUAAUCAUAUCUAUCCAUCAAUGUUUGAAACACGAUACUAGGCCACCAAUAACCAAUACGUAUAGGAGGGGCAAGAAAGGAAUUACAGGCUAGACAACAUGGUAGAUAGAGACCUGUCAGUGGUCCUUGCACCACGUGGCAGCAGUAGAAGGGAAGUAUAUAUGCAGGUGUUGUGUGUUAGGGUUGGGCAUUCUGAAUAUUGUGUGUAUUUUGAAUGAACUGAGUUUCAUUGGGAGGACAGCUCUCUUAUUUGGCUGGAACCAUCCUGACUUCUUGGUAUUUUGUGUUAAUAGUUAUAAAUCGUAUAUCAACUAUUCCUUGUUUGAGUAGCUGGAUAGGAAUAUCUCUGUUUGGUGUAUGUUUCUGGAUUGAGAUUCUGCAGGUAUCGUGGAAGCAGAGCUGGUCGACAUCCUGGGGAAGUGGAAGAAAAUGACAAAAAAUAAUCGAAGAACGUUUGGACGCUUCGGAAGUUGAGAUCGAAGCGAUUAAAAAGGAAGUUCACAGGUUACCGAUUUUGGAGAAAACGAUGGAAAAAAUGCACGCAAUGUUAACAGAAAUGUGUGAAGACCGUCAACAGCAUCAGGGAGAAUCGAAACUGACCGGUGUAAGCACCGACAAGAGGAAACUUAGAACAUAAGACAUUAACGAAGGAGAUGAGGAAGGAGAAACGUCUCUGAGUUUGAAACCAGGGGUGGGGUAGGUUCGCAUCAAGAUUAAAAAAACGGAGAUGCUUGUUUUCAUCAGGGAAGACCCAGAUGGUUGGAUUUAUUGGGUAGAACAAUAUUUUCAGAUGCACUUACUGAAUGACAAGAGAAGCUGAAAAUUGCGAUAGUCAGUAUGGAAGGGAAAUGGUUGUGCUGGUUUCGUUGGACGGAAAAUCGGAAGUGUUUUUGAUCGUGGAAAGAAUUGAAGGAACAAAUGUACAAUCGAUUCCGUUGUCAAGAGCAUGGGACUAGUUGUGGGCGAUUUUUGGCCAUAAAACAAGAGAGUUCGGUGGGAGAUUACCUGCAAUGCUUUGAGGAAUUAUUGGCGCCGUUACCGGAGAUGGUCGAGGACGUUUUGGUAGGGACAUUUAAGAACGGUCUGGACCCAGUGAUUAGAACGGAGGUUUUCGCAAUGCGGGUUGUAGGCCUGGAAGAUAUGAUGGAUGCGACCCGGUUAGCUGAGGAGAAAUUAGAAAUGGCUCUGGCUUCUCACGGCCCAUAUGCAAAAGAUGGAAAACCAGCCUAGAAACAAGGGGCAAAAAUUUGAGAAAACCCUACAACAAAAAUCGUGAUAUUAGCCCAAAGGGUUCCCGCACAUUCACCUACUCCGAUCACUUCACAAGUCAUCGCAUCUAGAAGUGGGGUUUGGCGAGAAUACUUUUCGAAGAUGGACUGAUUCUGAGUUGCAAGCAAGGUGUGACAAGGGGCUUUGUUAUCGGUGUGACGAACCGUUUAGUAAAGGACACCGCUGCAAAAACAAAGAGCUCCACCUUUACCUGGUAGCAAAUGAUUUAGAGGACACAAAGAUGGAAUACGUCGAGCAUGAGGACGCAAUGGUUAAAGACGGUUGUGGAAUUAUCCAUGAAUUCAGUGGUGGGACUGACAACUCCAGAUACGUUCAAAAUUAAAGGAACAGUGGAAGACAGAGAGAUAGUAAUCAUGGUGGAUUGUGGAGCAACCCACAAUUUAUAUCACUCAAACUGUUAGAUGGUCUGAAAUUGCCAAUGACUGAAAUGACCAACUACAAUAUCAUUAUAGGAUCCGAAAAGGCAAUGUAAGGCCGAGGAAUGUGCAAGGGCAUCACCGUAGGUCUGCCAGUGUUGACUAUGAGUAGAGGAUUUCUUACCGUUGGAAUUGCAACUUAGAUAUGGUACUUGGGAUGUAGUGGCUCGGAGAGCAAGGUGCUAUGACCGUCGAUUGGCUUUAACCAUGACCUUCGUUGUCAGGGACACUAAGAUAAUCUUGAAAGGAAACCCCUCACUGACCAGAAUGGAAAUAUCCUUGAAAAUGCUAGUUAAAACGUGGCAACCAGACGAUCAAGGAUCUUUAUUUGACUUCAGGGCCAUGGGAAUUUCAAAGGCCGAUCGGAUGUUGGUUGCAGCAGAAUCAAUAGAAGUAGUCCAACCCGAAAUGGAACAACUCCAAGCUCUAAUGAAUUAAGUUUUCAGAACACAUGAAGGUCAUUACAAGUUCCUAGUUAUGUCGUUCGGCCUCACGAACGCUUUGACGACAUUCCAAGCUCUAACAAAUCAGGUUUUUAGACCCUACUUGCAUAAAUUUUUGCUGGUAUUUUUUUAUGAUAUUUUGGUUUACAGCAAAGAUGUUCAUUUAGAGCACCUCACCUUGGUGUUCCAAUUACUUCGGCAACAUAGUCUCUUCGCUAAUCGAAAGAAGUGCCAAUUUGCAAAAGACCGAAUUGAGUACUUGGGUCACUGGGUUUCAGCAAAAGGAGUGGAAGCUGAGCAACAGAAGAUUAAUUGGAAUGGCCAAUUCCAAAAAAUGUGAGAGAAUUAUGAGGUUUCUGAUAGACCCCCAAUUAUACACCAGUACAGUAGAAGGAAGAAGAAGCAAGGAUAACUGCACGUGCCAGGGAGAAUAGCUUUAAUAUUGUUAGUAGACAUUUUCGUAAUAAAAGAAUAGAAUAUAAAUAGGAGUUUGUUAUGGAGAGAGAAAGUUAGUUAGAAUUUUGUGGGUAAACUCAGGCUUUUCCUAGAGAGAAAGGAGAGCAUAGGAGAGUCCCUUGUUUCCGAAUUGAGGCAUCCUCAAUUCGUUUUAGAUUGUAAUUUCGCUAGUCUUUUGGCAUUAUUACUAUCGUAACAAGGUUGAUCCUACUUGAUCGGGUUUGAUCAAGAGGAGUUUCAUCAUUUGGUAUCAGAGCUUGUCGAAUCUGGGCAAGGAGAGAACUAUGGUUCACACGCGAUCGGAAGAGAGAAUGGAAGUUCACAAUCAGGAAAUGUUGCUGAUUAAGAAAGAAGCAAGUAAAAUUCCGGCGAUCGAAGAAAGCUUAACGACGAUCAGUCAACAAACUGAAAAGACACAUCAAAUGUUGAUGAUACUCAUGGAUUCUAUUGCAAAAGAACGAACGACAACCAGUGAGAAGUUGUCAGACUACAGCGCACAGGAAACCGGAUGCAAGAAAAAUAAUGAAGGAGAGAGUUCGACAAGUAGAAGAGGUGAGAACGAAACGAAGGAGAGGACUCAGGACGAAGAAGGUGCAAAUGAAAGAAACAAAUUUAAGAAGGUCGAAAUGUCAGUAUUCAAUGGCGAGGAUACGGACUCGUGGCUAUUCCCCGCCGGUCGGUACUUCCAAAUCCACAAACUAAGCAAUACGGAGAAGGUUUUGGUGGCGACCAUCAGUUUUGAAGGCCCAACGUCAUCUUUUUGUGUUUCUUGUGGUACCGAGCACAAGAACGCGAUAAGUUUACAGGAUGGCCAAAUCUUAAGGAGAGAUUGCUUGUGCGAUUUCGAUCGUCGAGAGAAGGAUCCAUCUACGGGCAAUUCUUAAGGAUUGAACAACAAACCACAGUGGAAGAAUAUUGCAAUGAGUUCGAUAGGUUGAUGGCACCACUCGCUGACCUACAAGAUCAUGUGGUAGAGGAGACGUUUAUGAACGGAUUGUUCCCGUGGAUCAAAUCUGAGGUAGUUUUUUGUAAACCGGUCGGUUUGGCCGAGAUGAUGCACGCGGUUCAACUCGUGGAGAACCGGGAGAUCAUUCGUAAUAAGGCAAACCUAAACGGUUAUGCCAAAGGUAAAUACCCCCUUUCAAACUCUUCAAACAUCAAAAGUAGUGCAACGAUGAAUAACAGUGAGAACAAAGGAAAUACCAUAUUUCCAAUGAGGACGAUGACAUUAAGAACAAUGGCUGGAGAAGUUAAGAAAGAAGGCCCGACGAAGAGACUACCCGAUGCAGAGUUUCAAGCCCGAAAAGAGAAGGGACUCUAUUUUCGUUGUAAUGAAAAGUAAUUUCAUGGUCAUCGAUGUAAAGGAAAGGAGCAAAGGGAACUAAGAAUGUAGUGGUGAAGGAAGAUGAGGAAUAUGAAAUUGUGAAGGAAGCGGAAUGUGAUGAGACAUAAUUGAACUGUGUUAAGAUAGCUCCAGAAGAUCAGGCUAUCGUUGAACUUUCCAUAAAUUCAGUGGUUGGGCUGACGAAUCCAGGAACGAUGAAGGUGAGAGGAAAGAUUAAAGAUAGAGAAGUGAUUAUCCUAAUCGACUAUGGAGUGAUCCAUAACUUCAUCUCGAACAAAGUGGUGCAGGAACUGAGUUUACCAACGAAGACUACUUCCCACUAUAGAGUGAUUUUGGGCUCAGGUGCAGCUGUGAAGGGAAAAGGAGUGUGCGAAGACAUAGAGCUAAAACUGGAGGGAUGGAAAGUGGUAGCAAAUUUCUUACCACUUGAGUUGGGAGGAGGGAUGGAAAGUGGUAGCAAAUUUCUUACCACUUGAGUUGGGAGGAGUAGAUGGAGUGCUAGGAGUUCAGUGGUUGUAUUCAUUGGGAAUAACAGAAGUGGAUUGCACAAUCUUAUCCAUGACUUUUCUACACAAUGGGAAGAAAGUGAUAAUCAAAAGAGACCCCAGCUUAACCAAAGACAUGGUUGGUCUCAAGAACAUGAUUAAGUCAUGGAAGGAUUCUGAUCAAGGAUUCUUAAUUGAGUGCAGAGUAAUGGAGACAGUGUAUGAGGAGGUACUAACCGUGGAAGAGGCGGUUUCAGUUGUCCUGAAGAAAUUUGAAGAUGUCUUUACAUGGUCGGAAACUCUACCUCCACGAAGGAGUAUUGAGCAUCACAUCUAUUUGAAACAAGAAACUGACCCGGUCAAUGUGAGGCCGUACCUCUAUGGAUACCAACAAAAGGCUGAGAUGGAAAGAUUGGUGGAAGAGAUUCAAAGUUCAGGGGUUAUUCGCUCAAUUAUACAUCAGUACAGUAGAAGGAAGAAGAAGCAAGGAUAAUCGCACGUGCCAGGGAGAAUAGCUUUAAUAUUGUUAGUAGAUAUUUCCAUAAUAAAAGAAUAGAGUAUAAAUAGGAGUUUGUUAUGGAGAGAGAAAGUUAGUUAGAAUUUUGUGGGUGAACUCAGGCUUUUCCUAGAGAGAAAGGAGAGCAUAGGAGAGUCCCUUGUUUUCGAAUUGAGGCAUCCUCAAUUCGUUUUAGAUUGUAAUUUCGCUAGUCUUUUGGCAUUAUUACUAUCGUAACAAGGCUGAUCCUACUUGAUCGAGUUUGAUCAAGAAGAGUUCCAUCAGUUUCUUGGGGUUGACUGGUUACUAUCGACGUUUCGUAGCAAAUUAUGGUGCUAUCGCCACUCCCCUAACUCGGUUGACAAAGAAAAACAGUUUCCGUUGGACAGAAGAUGCAACCAAAGCAUUUGAGUCACUGAAGAAAGCUAUGGUCACAUUACCAGUCCUAGCACUACCAGAUUUCCAAUUGCCAUUCAAAAUAGAAACAGAUGCUUCAGGGUUCGAUCUUGGCACAAUUUUAUCACAUAACAAGAGACCCAUUGCAUACUUUAGUCAGAAACUAUCAGAGACAGCCAAGGAAAAGUCUAUUUAUGAAAGAGAGCUGAUGGCAAUUGUAUUAGCCGUUGACAAAUCGUGACAUUACUUGUUGGGACAUCGUUUUGUUGUAUAUACUAGCCAAAAGGCCUUGUGGCACAUCUUGGAGCAAAGGGAGAUUUUACCAGGCGCUCAGAAAUGAAUGAUGAAAUUGAUCGACUUUGAUUUUGAAAUCUUUUAUCGAACAGGACCGGAGAACAAGGCAGUCGAUGCUCUUUCGUGGAUUUCGAUGGAGGCACAAUUGAAUGUGAUUAGUGUGCCGUCCUUGUUGGAUCUCGAGGCCGUUGAGAAAGCAGUUCAAGAGGAUAAGAAGCUGAAAAAUAUAUUUGACCGAGUGGAUCAGGACCCAGAAUGUGUGCCUCGUUAUUUGGUACGCCAUGGCAAAUUAUUCUUUGGUCCUCACAAGGACAUCCAGCUUGAUUUCGACCAUCCUACACACCUUCCAUGAUUCUGUGGUUGGGGGCCAUUCGGGGCAGUUACAGACAUAUAAAAGAAUUGCAGCGGAAUUGUUUUCGGAAGGAAUGAAGAGUGAUAUCAAGAUUUAUGUUGAUCAGUGUCCGGUUUGCCAACAAAACAAAAUACAAGCCUUGUCUCCAGUCGGUUUGUUGCAGCCUCUUCCCAUUCCCAACAGAACUUGGGAAGAUAUAUCAAUGGAUUUUAUAGAAGGCUUGCUGCACUCCAAGGGAUUUGACACGAUCCUUGUGGUGGUUGAUCGCCUCAGCAAAUACACUCACUUUUUAACCUUGGGACACCUAUUUUCAGCCAAAACAGUAGCCACACUGUUCAUAAAAGAAGUUGUUUGUCUCCAUGGGUACCCCUGCUCCAUUAUAUCCAAUUGGGAUCGUAUGUUCUUGAGUCACUUUUGGAAAGAGAUGUUCCGUUUGCAAGGAACCCAAUUGAAGAGAAGUACUGCUUACCACCCACAAACGGAUGGGCAAUUGGAAGUUGUGAACAAGAGUGUAGAGUUGUACUUGCGAUAUUUUUUUCAUGAAAAACCAUAGACGUGGAGGGAAAAAAUAGCAUGGGUUGAGUAUUGGUACAACACCACCUACCACGCCUCCAUAAAAAAAUACUUGAAUCCACAUGUCCCAACUGUAGUAGGCAGUGGGAGACAAGCAUCAUGUACAGCCAGACAUUUCCCUGCUCAACGACCAAAUGGAAUUAGUGCUAGAGCCAGAAAAUGUGACUGAACUGCACUAGAAUGAUACCGAACGUGAAUGGGAGUAUUUAGUUAAGUGGAAAGAUCAACCAGCACAUGAAGCCACUUGGGAAUCUUAUGCGAUGUUAAAAAGCCAAUACCUCGACUUCCACCUUGAGGACAAGGUGUCUCUUCUCUAGGGGUAUUGCUAGGCCACCAAUAACCCAUAUGUAUAGAAGGAGGGGCAAGAAAGGAAUUACAGGCUAGACAACAUGGUAGUUAGAGAUGUCAGUGGUCCUUGCACACCACGUGGCAGCAGUAAAAGGGAAGUAUAUAUGCAGGUGUUUUGUGCUAGGGUUGGGCAUUCUGAAUAUUGUGUGUAUUUUGAGUGAACUAAGUUUCAUUGGGAGAGGACAGCCCUCUUAUUUGGCUGAACCACUGUGACUUUCUGGUAUUUUGUGUUGAUAGUUAUAACUCGUAUAUCAACUAUUCCUCUUUGAUAUUUAUGUGUUUGAGUAUCUCGAUAGGAAUAUCUUUGUUUGGUUUAUGUUUUUGAAUUGAUAUUCAUGUUUUUGAAUUGAUAUUCUGCAGAUAUCGUGGAAGCCUACCAACGACAUUGCUGAGAUUUCAAAAUUUUAUAGUUAUACAUAUAAAAAGGUUGAAGAAAUAUCAAAAAACAAAUAUGCAUGCAUUCAAAUACAUACAAUCAUACAAAACCCAAUCACAUACGAAAGAUAAGAUGAUGAUCCGUAUAAACCCACACUUACAAAGGCAUAUUCCAGCAAGGGUAGAAAAGGAAUUUCAGCUUCAACCGAUGAUUAGAAUGGAUAGUGUUUGACAGUUAAUGUAUUUAUUAAAAGUUGAGUUAUAAUUUCUUAGGCAGCUACGUUUGUCUUUUCUUUAAAAAAAUUCUAUAUUCUGCAGAAUGAUUUUUCUUUUGGAAGUCAUUUUGUACUGUUGGGAGAGAAGAUUCCCUCCCAUACUGGUCUGGUCCAUUGCAGUAGAUUGCAAUCUCUGUGUUUUCAUUAAUAGUAAAAAAAUAGAGAUACAUAUCUGUUAGACGUGUGAAGAUAAAUCUAAUGUCAUAUCAUAUAACAGCGUGCAUGUUCUCAAGCUUAGUUGUAGUUUUUCUGCUAAAGCCUUGGUUUGGAAAAGUUCACCGGGUUAUACAGAAUAAGUCUUUUGCUUGGACUGCUCACUUUGUUUUAGCUUCAGUUCAAGCCUCUUCACAUUUGAUCUGGAUUGUUUUUAUUUCUCCUACUUAAUCCUUUUCUUUUCUUUGUAGUAGUUUGGUAAUUGUGGUAUUUUAUUUUGGUCUUUAGUAUUUUGAGCAGUAGUCUCUUUUUAUUUUAGAGUGAAAAACUUUGUUUUCUUUUCAAUAUAAAAUUGAACUGAAAGAAAAGAAAAGAUUACUAUAUAAGAUGGAUGCAAUUUCAAGGGAUGAGGGUUUUUUAUUGCCCCAUAUCAAAAGGAAGCCUUUACAAAAUCAAUACAACAUAUGAGAUGUGAACUGUAUCAUCAAGAAGUGUAGAUAUACUACUCAAUACUUUCGAAGUGGAAAAAGACACUCAAUUUCCUUGCAUGAAUUCAAAUGUAAAAUAAGAAAGAAAUAUGAAACCGACUUACUGGCAAAUAGGCGUCUCUGCAGUUAUCAUCUCUGCAUGGUUUAGAGGCAUUCGAGUUCGAUCUGAUUUGUAAUUUAAGAUUACUAUAUUAAUACACUCAUUUGUACUAUAAAAUAAAUUAAUAAAAUAACAAACAAAAGAAAUUAUAAGAUGUCCUUCACGAUAUAUAUUGAUAACAGAGUUUGCCCUAAGGUGAAACAAAGUGUCCCAACUUAUUAGAAGAGAGCUGGUAACCUGAUCUUUCCUCUCCACUUGCUACAACAAUUCACAAAAAACAUAAAAGCAACGUAUACACAACCUAUAAUCCAAGUGGUCCCCCCUCACAUUCCUUAUUCUAUCAUGUGUGGCUAGCGAUUUAUUCUACUCCCCCUUCGUGCAUAAUAAUUUGUUGAAAGAACUGAGGGCUCAGUUCUUCCUCGAGAAUGUUGAAUUUAUUGCAAGAAGAACCAUCAAAGAUUAUGUUAAACAAUUCUCCGUUGUUAUGUUGGACAUGCGAGACAUGUCGGAAAAGGAUAAAAUAUUCUGCUUUGUAGAAGGGCUCAAACCGUGGGCCAGGACAAAUUUAUAAGAACAGAAAGUACAAGAUCUCGCCUCUACCCUUGCCGUCACAGAAAGAUUGUUAGACUACGGUGGCAACCAAGGGUCCCAAAUGAAGAAUGUACCAACAUUGAAUCCCAAGAAGAGGGUCUCCAAGCCUAAUCCCCCAAGAAACUUCGCUAAUGACAACAAACUGUAGAUCCCAAGCACUAGUACUCCUCGUGGGGCACAUCAGUCAAGUUCAAAUCAAAUAAGACCAAUUUCUUGCUUCUUGUGUAAAGCCAUCGAGUAGCCGAAUGUCUAGAUUGGAGCACGCUAACAGCAUUACAAGCAUCUGUACAGUUUUCUAACGAUUCCGAGGUAGAAACUAAAGUGGAAAAGGAAGAUGAGGGGGAGACUCCACGAAUGGGUGCAUUAAAAUUUAUCGCCAAUUUAGAAGGUCUCACCAAAAAAUGCUUUCAAAAAGGGAUUCAUGUUUGUCGACGUAGUCAUCAACUCCAAACCCACAAAAGGCACCAUGGUAGAUUCAGAUGGAACUCACAAUUUCAUUUCAGAAAAGGGGCGUGUCGGUUGGAGUUGAAAAUCGAGAAAGGCAUUGGCAAGAUGAAAGUUGUUAAUUCGAAGCUUUGCCAAUUGUUGGAGUGUCAAAAAGGGUAUCUCUAAAACUAGGUGAAUGGAGGUGAGACGUUGAUUUAGUAGUGGUUUGUACGGAUGACUUCGAUGUUGUACUCGGUAUGGAAUUCCACUUGGAAAAUAAAGUCAUUCCCAUGCAACUGGCUCAGUGUCUGGUAUUAACGAGCAGUAAUCCUACAUUGGUCCAAGCAAAGAUCAAGCAACUGAGUGGGUGAGAAUGAUUUCGGUCCUACACUGGAAAAGGGGCUUAGUAAAGAGGAAUCGACUUUUAUAGCUAUCUUGCUGGUGGAUGAGCAAAUUGAAGCUGAUCCUAUACCAAUAGAGAUCCAGGAAUUUCUGAACAAAUACGUUGGUAUAAUGUCACCUGGUCUGCUGAAAACAUUGCCUCCUCGAUGGGGGAUUGAUCACGAGAUUGAACUUGUCUCAGGAGCCAAAACCCUAGCAAAUAAUGCCUAUUGAAUGGCUCCACCUAAGUUAGUUGAACUCAAGAAACAAUUGGAUGAGUUGUUGACUGCCAGAUUCAUCAGACCAACAAAGUGCCGUAUAGGGCCCUUGUGUUGUUUCAAAAGAAGAAAGACGGAACAUUUCGACUGUGUAUAGACUACGGAGCUUUGAACAAAGUUACGGUUCAAAACAAGUACCCCUCCAAUUUGUUUGAUCAAUUUAAUGGAGCUCAGUACUUUACGAAGCUCGACCUCUGAUCAACCUAUUACCAAGUUCAAAUAGCAUAAGGGGAUGAAUCGAAGACUACUUGCAUAACAAGGUAUGGGACCUUCGAGUUCCUCGUAAUGUCCUUUGGCUUGACAAACACCCCUGCAACCUUCUGCACCCUGAUAAGUGAUAAACCAGGUAUUCCACGAGUAUCUAGAUCAGUUUGUGGUAGUCUAUCUUGAUGACAUUGUGAUUUUCAGUUCUUCACCUUUGAUUAGGUUUAACAAGCUUUGGCAGAAUCAAUUAUAUGUAAAGAAAGAGAAGUAUGCUUUUGGCCAACAACAUAUCAAUUUUUUAGAUCACGUUAUUGAAUAUGGAAAAAUUCAAAUGGAUGAGGAUAAGUUACACUCCAGGAAUGGAGAGCUUCCACUUCUGUGACAAAAUUAUGCUCCUUAGGAUUGGCUAACCACUGCCGUCAGUUCAUUGAAGAAUUUUCAAGCGGGUUGCACCGUUGAUAGAGUUGCUGAAGAAAGGUACGACCUGAAAACUACCUUUGAUGAACUAAAGAUGACAAUGAUGAAGGGUUCUGUCCUCGGAUUGGUUGAUGUGUCUAUGUUGUUUGAAUUCGAAACCAAUUGCAUCAGAUUUUGCUCUCGGGGGCGUCCUUACCCAAGGAGGUCACCCCAUAGCUUACGAGAACCGAAAGCUCAAUAAUGUUGAAAGAAGGUAUACUAUCUCCGAGAAAGAAAUGCUUGCAAUGGUCCAUUAUCGGAGGGCCUGAAGGCUAUUUAUUAGGCACCCUUCAUUGUGAAAUCUGACAACGCUAUUUGUCGCUUCUUCAGCUAGCCAAAGUUGACCUCUAACAAGCGAGGUGGCAGAAAUUUUUUGCUGAAUUCACCUUCAAAUUCAAGCACAAGUAAGGAACAAGAAAUCAAGCUGCCAACGCUCUUAGUCAUAAAGGCCAACAUGCAACACUGUGUAGCUAACCCCCAUUCAUAUAAGUAAAGUUGAUGCAUCGAUGCGCAAUAUCAUUAGGGAGUUCAUUCAGAAGGAUCCCUCUACCCCAACUAUUAUUGCUCUAGCCAAACUCGGUAACACAAGAUAGUUUUGGGUCGAAGAAGAUCUGUUAUUAACAAAAGGAAACCGGUUGUAUGUUACAAGAGCAUGUGAUCCGAGGAAAAGGUUACUACAUGAGUGUCAUGACACCUUAUGGGGGGCAGUCAUCCUGUGUGAUAGAGAGGUAUGCACUUGUAACGUCCCAAAAUUUGAGGUAUUUAUUCUCAACCUAAUUGUCUUAUUUUAUUAGGAUUUUAAAUUUUGGGUGUUAUGUUCUUGGAGUUUGGUGAGAAAAAGAGAGAUUUUGUUAUAAAGAAAAAGAAAGGGAAAAAAAAAAGAAAAAACAAAAAAAAAAAAGAAAAGGAAAGGAAAAGGAAAAGGAAAGGAAAAAAAAAAAGAAAAAGAAAAAAAAAGGAAAUAAUAAUAUAAUAAUAUAUUAUUAUUAUUAUGUUCUUAAUUUCUCCUUGGUGCGCAUGCAAAUCAAUUUCAACUUUUCUUCUUCUUCUUCUUCUUCGUAUUUCUCGAGCGCCGCCCCUUGGGUUUCUCUUUUCUUCUUCAUAUUUCAGCCACCAUCGCCCUCUGUUUUUCGAUCCACUCCGGCUGUUGUCUUCCAUUCGAGUUGUUCGUUCAGUCAGUUACUUUCCAUCGUCGUCGCAUCUUUAUUGUCUCAAUUGGUGAGAUUGGUUGAGUUUUAAUGUGAAAUUUUUUGUAGGUUUUCUUUUACCCAUUAACGUUCAACUAUUGGCUCUUAAAUAAAGAUAUUUUGGACUCUCUUUAAGGACUAAGUGGAAACUCUUGAAGUAUUUUGGGUUUUACUGUCGAGGGUUGAGUUGGAUCCAACAUCAAUAUUGGGUAAGCUAAAUUGGAAAGAAAAAUUUGGGUGUGGACUAAAAUUAUUAAUUUCUUAUCAUUAUGUUUAGGAUUGUCUUGUUAGGUUUUAGUUCAACUAAGGAAUUUAGCUAAGCUUGAAGUAAGGGAUUUCUACUACUGGACCCUAUAUUGAAGUUGGAAUGUAUUGACUGAAAGGGCUUGCAUGCUAUAUGUAGAUUUGAAUGUGUUGAUGGAUUACACUGAACUGAGAUGGUUUGACUGUUAUGUAGAUUUGAAUGUGUUGAUUGAUGACUCGUACUGUUGACUGAAUUGUGAUAUGCACUAGUGUAUUUAUUUUUUAUUGACCAUGUGUAGAGAAGGAGAAAUGUUGAUAGUUUUAAUUGUACUUUCAUGUGACUAUCAUGAACUGUUUGGACUGAAUUAGGGGAAAACUGUUAACUUUAUCUAUGGGUAGUGUACCUUGCACGGUGUCCUACAGGAUCACCACUUGUGCAUCCUUCAGGAUCACUAGACUGAUGUGUGCAUCCUUCGAGAUCACUAGACUUAUGUGUGCAUCCUUCGGGAUCACUAAACUGAUGUGUGCAUCCUUUGGGAUCACUAAACUAAUAUGUUCAUCCCUCGGAAUCACUAGACUGAUUGACGUGUAACCUACUAGAUCACAAGAUUGUUAUGGUGCAGGGUACCUCCUAAUAGAAAGUUAACCAUUUUUACCCCUAACGGGACAAGUAGUGGGUCUCUUAUUGGAUAUAUUUUAUACUCACCCUUUUCAUGUUUAACUUUUUCAGGCAAAGGUAAUACGAGAGGUAGACCGGAGAGGGGCAAGAAGGACUUGUGAUCGCCAUAUGGGAACACUCUUUCAAAAUGCUUCCGGUUAACGAUUUUGCUGUUUUUAAGUUUUGAUGAUUGAAAUGAACUUUCAUGUUUAGAACAACUGUUUGUUUGUUGGUGACUUUAUAAAUGAUACUUUUGAAUUUUUGUUUUGUUUGAAAUAGGGCCCGAAUAAAGUUUCUUGGAUGUCUAUUUGAUUUUAAAUAUAUUAAUGAACUUUUAUGUUUAAACAAUGUCUUUGUGUUAAAGCAGUAAUGACCUCAGCUUAGUCUGAAAAGUUAGGUCUUUACAACACUGCUGAAUAAAGGCUACUUUUGGCCUAAUAUGCGAGAUGAUAUCAUGCAGUAUAUGAAGGCAUGCCUCAUUUGUCAGCAAGAUAAGGUCGAGAAGGUGAAAGUUGUUGGGCUUCUUGAAACCUUACCUGUUCCGACGAGAUCGUGGGAGAGUGUCUCCAUGGACUUUAUUACACAUCUCCCAAAGGUGGGCGACCUUAAGGCCAUCUUGGUUAUCAUCGAUCGAUUCUCGAAGUAUGCCACUUCCAUCCCUACUACCAAACAAUGUUCUGUCGAGUUGACAACAUAGUUGUUCUUUAAGCAUGUCAUGAAGUUGUAGAGAGUCUCGAAGUUGUGAAGGGAGUCUCGACAAGCAUCGUGAGCAAGUUAUUUACCUUCUUGGAGACGAGUCUGAAUAUAUCCUCAAGCCACCACCCUCAGACUGAUGGCCACACCGAACGAUUCAAUUGUAUGCUCAACAAGUAUCUAUGCCAUUUUGUUGAUGCAAGACAAAAGCAUUGGGUCCAGUUGCUAGAUGUGGCUCAAUUCUGUUUCAACGCUCAAACUAGUUCGUCAACGGGGAAGAGUCCCUUCGAAAUUGUAAGUAGAAGACAAGCCUUAUUAUCUAAGAUUGUUGGUCAUCCUUAUGCAGGGAAAAAUCCACAAGCUCACAGCUUCGCGGAAGACUGGAAGCAGACUACAGACAUUACUCAAGCUUACUUAGAGAAAGCCUCGAAGCAUAUGAAAAAGUGGUAUGAUAAAAAGCAGUGCCCUCUCAAAUUUCAAGUAGGAGAUCAAGUUCUCAUCAAGCUAAACGUAGAGCAAAUUUGGUUUAGAGGGUGCAAAGAUCAGCGUCUCGUCAGAAAAUAUGAUGGGUCUGUAGAAGUCCACAAGAGGAUAAGAAAUGCAUCGUAUAAGGUGGCAUUACGUGCAUGGAUGAAAAUCCAUCUAGUAAUCAAGUGAGCAACUUAAAACCCUACCACCAAAAUCGUAACGAUAAGCGACGCAACAAUAUUGCUCGACCAUGCAUUGACCUAAAGCAAAAGGAAGAUAAAGAAGUUGAAGAGAUACUUGCAGAACGAGCAAGGAAGGGUAGCAGGCCCAUGAGGAGAAUCCAAAUGGAAGAACCUACAAUGCUUUCUUUAAUGAUGUUUUCAAUGCUUAUCUUUCUGUCUCACGUUUUAUAAAACCAUUUUCUCUCAAAAUGUGAAGGGAGGCUAUAUCAUCCUACAAGUUUGCCGAUGACUUUUGGAUUUAGUACAGCUGACUGGUUCAUCGAGUUAGAACAGGUGCGGCACAAUCGCCCGUCCCGUAUUCAAAAGGUUGCGAUUGUGACACCUAGCAACAUGUGGAAUAACAAUUUCUACAAUUUUUUCAUUAUUUUAUAACGAUUAUCAUUACACACUUCCAUUGUUUGAAAAAUGCCCCUCCAUAUGCUUUUUUGCCCGUGGGAGAAGCCCAUAGAAGAACAUUGCAAAAAUGGAACAUCUUUUCUGCAGUUUCUCUUACAUUGUCACUAGGUGGAAUUUCUUACUUUUUGUUGAUUCAGCAAUGCUAAGUUUUAAGAUUUGGGUCCUUUUGCUCUAUAGUCUAGGUGGAAUUCUUUCAUGCAAUAUAUAUAUAUAUUUUUAAGUUUUAAAGUACUAUUCCAAACAACUUUUGAGUCAGUAGCGAUAUACAAAAGCAUCCUUGAUUCCAAAAAUAAAUAAAUAAAAAACAAAGUUGGAAAAAACCUACCAAUUUCUCUGUUGCUAAACCUUACAAUCCAUUCCGAGAUGACAUCUUGCAAUGUUUUACCCAUCUGACUAAUGCACCUCCCCGUAAUCUAAGAGCCAAAAUGUGAAUCAAAUCAUCUACUUAAUAGCAAAGCCGGGAAAUCUUCUUAAUCAAUAAGGAGAUACAGAUCUUACAUCCUGUUCAUGCCGAUUAUUUUCAUGUGUCAACUGUGGAAUUCUUGAGAUUGUACGUCUGGAGAUCUGCAUUACACAUAAAAGUAUAAGAGAACCCUCCAACUCUCCAGUUUAAUGUGAGCUUACGUCUAAAUAAUUACAAAAUAAAAUGGAAACAAAACUUCAUUUUUGCUUGCCACAAUGUAAAGGACAAGCAGUAACAAGCCUUGACAGAUACCCAACGAAAUAAGUAAAAGAAAUCAAAGAGACCAAGCAAUAACAGCACAUACUGGUUUAAAAGUUUCGGGACUGCAAGUGGCGUAUAUAUCACUUCUUUGUAAACUCUGAGCUUCCCAAUAUGCACCACAAAAUGCUCUAUCACAACCUAAACCUGAAGGAUCAUUUGACUUUUAAGUUUGGGCAAGAAAUAAAAAUAUACUAUUCUUAAUUCCAACGCUGCAAUGAACACAAAAAGCUCACAACUACACAAAAUAGAGAUGGAAAACGUUAAUUUUGUAACACAUCACCAAUUCAAACUAGUCCCAAGAUUCUGCCCCACACAGAUCCCUCAAGUUAAUGCACAAAAAUUUCAUGAAUUCAAAAUCCAAGUUUUAUUCAAACUUCAUUGGAAACUUAAAUCUCUGUAAAAUCUAUCCUAGAGAAAUAUAAGAUUAAGAUUGACUUCAUACAAUAUGAACAACUUUCAUCAACAAAAACUGACGAGCCUCUUGAACUUGAAAUAAUUUAGACUGCAACUGACGUAUCUUUCAUCAAAUCUAUCGUAGAGAAAUAUAAAAUUAAGAUGAACAAGAUAUCAUAUAAACAAAUUUCAUUAACAAAGAAAUAAUGAGUAUUGAACUUGAAAUAAUUUGGACCACGACUGAAGAUCUUUCAUAAAAUGAAGAUAUUAAAAUUAACUUACAUCAUAGCUUACAUCACACUAAUUUGUUGAGUGAAUUCACCAUAAAAUUGCUACAUACACUUAAUUUUCAUAUUGAAGUAAUAUGGAUUAUUUUGAUAUUUAAAGUCAUAAGUUUAUAACAGUCGUCAGUCCACUAGAUGCAUUAUGGUAAACAAACGCAUACUUUUACGUGAUUGUUAGGCAAACGGUUAUGCCCGUGAAGAUAAACAUGAUUGCUAUCAAUGCUUUUAUUCAAUUAUUAACUAUUAAUAGCAACCUGACAACUCUGGUUAUAUCUUCCAAAUCAUUCACACUAACAAGUAGCAUGAUAAUAGCAACCAACAUUUUCAACCAUUCAUUUCAUUUGAUAUUACUCUAUCAUUACAAAUAAUUAAUUUCUGAAUUGGCCUGGUUCUAUACGAUGCUUCAUUAAUGAUAAGAGAUUUUGUUUAGAAUUACUAAAAAAAUAUCCUCUCAAGGGGAGAGCAAAACAAUUUAUCGUUUCUAGAAAUAUAGUUGUCCAUAUCCAAACUACACAGGGAUCACCUUAGGUGAUCUGACAGUAUUCUGACUGUCCAUACGCAACUUUCUUCCUCAUCUAUAUCUACCCACACAAAAAAUAAUCUACGUGACUCUUAAAAUCAUAAUGCAAUCUCUUUGUGAUUAUGAUAGAAAGAUAAGACAAAUGUAUGUAUCUAGCAAUUUGAUAGGUGACCAUAAUGAAAAUCUUAUUCAACUGAAAGGUUUGCCUUAGGGCACUAUAAUUCUUAGCCUCACUAGUAAGCAUGUAACACCCUGAGUUUAGGAAGGAGACAUGAAUGAAUCGGUAUCACAUUUGAAUGAGAGGGAAAAUGAGGACAUGAAAUGAGGAUAUGAAAGUAAUUUUAAGAAAGAAUUGAAAGAAUUAAAAGUUACUACCUAUACCAACAAGGUACACCUUCCUUUUCGGUGGCUCGAUCGUAGGAACUCCAAAAUUAACCGUACUUAGCUUGGAGCAAUUCUAUGUUGGGUGAUCUCUUAGAAAUUCUCCUAGAAUUCAUGUGAGUGAAGACAAAGCAUGCUGAAGUGACUCGUGUUGGUUUGUGGGGAGAACUUUCACUCUAAUGAGUCUUUAAGAUAGUAAGGAUGAUGUUGUCAGGUCGCAGGGGAUGCAGGAGAAUGUCGAAGAUCCGAAUUCCAAAUCCUGGUUCGAAUCCUAUGCCUAGAGCGUUACAGAUGGUAUCAGAGUGGAACCUCUCCCAGUAAGAUGUGAUUUGAGGACGAACCAAGCAGAAGCUCGUGGACAUGGAUAAGAGAGGUAUAAAUAAAUUGCUCUCGGGUCAAUGAAAUAUGAGAGAGUAUUGAAAAUCAAGGUGGUUGAUGAGUUUCUAUAGGAUGAAAGUAUAUUUUCCAUAUUACUUUUAGGUUUCAAGUCCAAGUAAAACAACUUUGUUUAUGAGGGAGACAUGAAUGAACCAAUAUCACAUCUGAAUGAGAAGGAUCCUGAGGACAUGAAAUGAGGAUAUAAAAGUAAUGUUAAGAAAGAUAUAAAAGAAUUAAAAGUUACUAUUUAUACCAGCAAGGUACACAUUCCUUUUCGAUGACUCGAUGAUAGGAACUCCAAAGUUAAACGUCUUUAGCUUGGAACAAUUCUAUGUUGGGUGACCUCCUGAGAAUUUUCCUAGGAUUCAUGUGAGUGAGGACAAAACAUGCUGAAGAGACUCAUGUUGGUUUGUGGGAAGAACUUUCACUCUGAUAAACCUUUAAGACAAUAAGGAUGAUGUUGUCAGCUCGCAGGGAAAUGUCAGGGAUCCAAAUUCCAAAUUCUAGUUUGAAUCAUGGGCCUGGGGCGUUAGAGAACUUCUCCUCUUCCUCUCAACAACAUAAGAGCCAUAUGUGAAAAGCAAAUCUACUGUGACUUCCUUCCCCCAUAUAUACACCCUCUCUCUCCUUUCUCUAAUUGUGGGGAAUGCCAUAUUGCUGUUGAAUGUAAAAGCCACACUCCCCGCUACAUAUGUCAUACCCUUUUUACCCCUCCUUGUAUAUUGUAUAUGCUGAUUAUUUCCUUUUUUGUAUUAUAUUUUAUUGUAAUGAUUGUAUUAUAUUUGCCAAAUUUAUUUUUUCCUUCUUUGUAAUGGGUUGCUCUUCUAUUUAAGAAAACUCUUCUCUCGGUAAAAUAAACAGAAAAUUACAUUCUUUGCCAUGGUAUUAGAGAAGGUUUUGAAACCCUUAAAAAAACCUAAUUUUUUGAAAACAUAAAAAGCCCAAAAACUCAUACAAUCGUUGUCGUCAACUACAACUCAUUGGACAUCGCCGAUAGUGCCAGUGGUUGCUUGCGAUUUUUAGCUGCAAGUAGGUGUUCUUUUUUUGUCUUCACUGUCGUUCGUCGUGGUCCUUGCUGAUUACCCCUUUCUAAGUCUUCUGCCAUUGCCUGUUGCCGUUUGCUACUAACGAGUUUGGUUGGUGUUUCCAGAUUUGCUCUCUCCAUUUUCUGACCUUUGUUGCUUCAAGCCAUGUUGGAUACUAAGUUACCUAUGGCUAAAGUCGACAAUCAUAUCCACUCCAAUAGCCCAACUAUCCAAAUCACCACGAUCCGACUUAAUGGAGAAAACUUUCUUCAUUUGUCACAAAGUGUUAUAUUGUAUAUUCGUGGACAAGGGAAAAUUGGCUACAUUAUGGGUAAGAAAACUGCCCCAAAACUAGACGACCCUUUGUUUGCUGCAUAGGAUGCUGAAAACUCCAUGGUUGAAGACAUCAAAUGUAAUUACAUGUGCUACCCUAUAGCCAAGGAAUUGUGCAAUAGUGUGACACAGAUGUACUUUGAUUUAGGCAAUCAAUCACAAGUAUUUUAGUCCAAUCUCAAAUUAGUAGAUAUAUGCCAAGGAGGUAACUCGGUGACACAAUACUUUCACCUCCUAAAAAAUAUUUGGCAAGAGUUCCAUCUCCUUGAUUCAUACGAGUGGAAGUCUACAAAUGUUCGAAAGCAUUACAGGAAAAUUGUACAAAACAAUCGUAUUUACAAGUUCCUUGCCGGCCUUAAUGUUGAAUUUUAUGAGGUUAGAGGUCGAAUACUUGGGAAAAUCACUCUUCCAUCUAUUAAUGACGUUUUUUCUGAAGUUUACAAGGAAGAAAGCUGCAAAAAUGUUAUAAUUGAAAAAAAGCCUAUUGAUUCAGUAGAAAGUUCUACGUUGGUGACCAAACAAACAGCCAUGAAGCCUUUGAUCAUUCCAACAAGACACAUGAAAAGCCUCAAAUCUGAUGUGGCCAUUGCAAUAAACCCCGACAUACACAUGAAACAUGUUGAAAGCUUCAUGGAAAAUCUGCAAAUUGGAAAAGUUCUAAACAAGGGAAAAAAUUCCCACCUACACACCUCAAAUGCGAAUGUUGGUGAUUCCAACCUGUUUAACAAGGAGAAAAUUGAUCAAAUCUUGAAACCGCUAAAGACUACUUCCCCAUCUGGUAAUCCUAGUGUUUCCUUGGCACAAUCAGGUAAUUUUCCUCAGUCUCUUGCAUAAACUCAUCUCCAUGAAUUAUAGAUUCUGGAGCCUCUGGUUAUAUGACCAAUUCCUCUUCCUUAUUUGCAUCCUACUCUCCUAUAUAUUGCAAUGAAAAAAUUCACGUCACUGAUGGUAGUUUCCCCCAUGUUGUAGGAAAAGGAACUAUUCCUCUAACUACAAAACUUAAGUUGCAUUCUGUUCUACAUGUUCCAAAAUUAGCUUGCAAUUUGUUAUGUGUUAGUAAAAUCUCUAAACAUGCUAAUUGUCGUGUUGUCUUCUGUGACACUCAUUGUACCUUUCAUGAUCAGGACUUGGGGGAAACGAUUAGAUGUACUAGGAUGAUGGGUGGUCUCUAUUACUUGGAUGAAGUUUCAGCUAGUCAUAAACAAGUUCAGGGCUUGAAGUGUCUGUUCACCUUCUUCUAAAGAAUUUGGCAUCAUAGAUAAGAGCAUCCUAAUUUCAUUUACUUAAAGUAUUUGUUUCCAGAUUUAUUUAAAGGCCUUUAUUGUUCAUGACAUGGAGUUUGCAAAAUCCAAAAGUUGUCAACCAAAUGAAGUAUAUUCUUGAUCUGCUAGAAGAGAGAAGUUUACUCAAGGUAGCAAAAACUCCCAUGGAGUAGAAUCUGAAAUUGGAAGGUGCAACAAAAAAUAAGAUAAAGAAAAGGAAAAAAGUACCAGACUAGUUGGGAGACUCAUAUCUUUCUCACACAUGUCCUGAGAUCGGUUUUGCAGUUAGGAUAGUAAGUCAGUUCAUGCAUGCUCCUAUGGCCAGCUAACUUUGACGCGGUUUAUAGAAUCCUAAGAUAUUUCACAGGUACUCCAGGAAAAGGCACAUUGUUUAAAGGGCACGAUCAUCUUCAUGUUAAAGUUUACACUGAUGCUGAUUGGACAAGUAGCACGACUGAUAGAAGAUCCUCUUUUGUUACUGCCCCUUUUCUUGUUACUUGGUGAAGUAAAAAACUGAGUGUGGUUGCAAGUCAGAAGGAGAAUUUAGUUCUUUAGCCCAUGGUAUUUGUGAGGGUAAAUGGAUAAGAAGACUGAUGGAAGAAUUGAUAUUCACUUAGGUGACACCCACGUGCAUGUACUGUGAUAACAAGGCAGGAAUUUCCAUUUCCCAAAAUCUAGUCCUUCAUGAUAGGACAAAACAUAUAGAAGUUGAUAAACACUUUAUAAAGAAAAAGAUCGAUACAUAAGUAAUAUGCGUACCCUACCUUCCGACAACCGAAUAAAAUGCAGAUGUGUUAACUAAAGGCCUUCAAAGGUGGCAAUUCAACAAAUUGGUUGACAAGCUAGCGGUAGCAGUAACUAAUAUCUUCAAACCAACUUGAGGGGAAGUGUUGAUUAUUUCCUUUUUUGUAUUAUAUUUUAUUGUAUUGGUUGUAUCAUAUUUGCCAAAUUUGUUUUUUCUUUCUUUGUAAUGAGUUGUUCUUCUAUUUAAGAAAAUAGUUAUCUCUUUGUGAAAUAAACAGAAAAUUACAUUCUUUGACAGCAAAAGAAUCAGUGGCCUAACGAAAUGUUGGAAGCACCAAUCUUAAAUAAGCUUUUCUUACAAAAAAUGUGAGCAGCCUUGUGUUACAAGAUAAAGUAACAACAUCACAAUUCCAGAAAGAACAGAAAGGGAAAAUGGACACGUACAAUGUUGAGGUAUCCCAGUAUCAAAUCGAGAAGGCAUCAUUCCUCCACAUUCAUGACAUUGUAGAUGAACCAUGUGUGGAUUACAGCGAAAUCCAGCAUAUUCAGUACCUGGAAAAUAAAAAUCAACUUGUCAAAUUGGCAUAAAAUGUAACAAAAAAAUUAAAAUCAAAAUUAAAAUCACUUGGAAUGAAGUCAUAAUUCCAUGAAGACCAGGAAAGGAAUGUGUAAGAGAACUAGUACUCUAUUUAUAGCAAAAGUAAACUAAUCCUAAUCCUAAUUAAUAAAAGAAACUUAAUCCUAAUCCUAAUAAACCAGAGAAACUAAUCCUAAUCCUAAUCAUAAUAAAUUAAGGAUUUGACUGUAAUAUCCUAUUCCUACCACAUCAUACACCCAAAACCCCAUAAAUGUCUAUUUUCCAUCAUAAACGACUUCCAAAUGGCUGAUAUGAUGUUCUUUCUUGCCUUCGACCUAUGCCCCAAACCUGAUAAAAAACACGUUGCCCCUAACUCAGUGGCAGAAAAGAGGUUCACUUCCACCUGGGUUCUCCUGAAUAUAAGCAAAACAAUGGUGUGGACUAAUCAAAGAGGAAGAAAUUAACCAAAGGUUGGGUUGAGAGACCUGCGUACCGCAGGAGUGGUCCAGUUGCUUUUCUUGGCCAGUCUCUCUUUAAUGAAGUGUGAAUCAAUCUUCACAUGUUUUAUUUUAUCAAGUUGAACUCAAUUGUUGGCGAUGCUAAUACCUACCUUAUUACCACAAAAUAAUUUCAUGGGCACCUUACAGUUCUGAAGAAUGUCAGAUAAAACCUUCUGAAGCCAAAUUUUUUCAUACAUCCCCAAAAAUCAUAGCCCUGUACUUAGCUUCUGGCCACGUAGUUACUGUUUUCAAGCAACUGACCGUGCAGCACAAUGGUGAUCUCACUUACAAAGAAGCACCAAUGUAAGCCUUCAAGUGAUUAUUGACUUGCUAGUUUGUGGGGGACUCAUGAGAGUUGGAUAAGAGUAGGCAAAGUGUGUGGAAGAGUUUGGUAGAAUGAAUGAGCAAGCUUUAUUGAGAAUUCCCAAGGAUGGUUACCAAUGGGACCCCAUUAGGGUAUUUAUACAAAGAUGAAUCGACAUUAGAACACUUAAACCGCCUUUGAAGGUAAGUUAAAAUACAUCUAGAGCCUUCUAGGGAUUUCAUGACACUUUCAAACCGAUAUAGGAACUUCCAGAUGCUUCCAAGCGUGCUUAGCAUGUUCAAGAAUGCUCUAAAGCCAUUCGAGUCUCUCACGCACGUGCUCAUAGUCUGCCUAAUCUGGCUCGUGUGUGUAUAUCCCUGACCGUCUGUGAGCGUGCACCUGUUAUGCAAGGCUGCACUAGCGUCGUGUGUAUGGUUGCACGAAUGCCAAGCACGUUGUUUGUCAAGGCUUAGGUGUGUCCUGGUAGCGUUUUGGGACUUUGGACAAUGUGGCCAUGUUUUGGCUCCACCUGGUCUAUGCUAAGGAGCUUUAAUUUUGCAUUUUUUUUUGGGGCGUGAGGCCCUCCCCACUUAAUUUCGCAACAUCCUCAUUGCGCCUUCUUUGAACUUUUUAAUUUCUUCUUGGAAUUGCCAGAGUAAGUCUUCACGUUGCCAACUUGCUUCACUUUCUCGCAAACCUUCCGAAAUGACCAAGUAUUCUUUGUAGUUUGGAACUCCCCUCCGCCUUAUCUGUCUUUCUGCCAGGAUUUCUUCCGAUUUUCUUGUCAAACUCAGUCACUACCACAGUCAAUGCACGGGAGGACUUGCUCCGACUAGGGUCUUCUUUGUCUUCAUGAAAGGGUUUUAGCAUACUUACAUGGAAGACGAUGUGUAUCUUGAGUUUAGGAGGUAGUUCCAACCGAUAGGCUGCCUUGCCCACUUUUUCUAUGAUAAGGAAUGGGCCUUCGUAUCUUCGUACUAAGCCUAUGCACCUUCUGCAAGGACUUAAAUUGGUUUGGCAAUAAUUCACCCACACUCUGAAAUUGGUUUGGCAGUAAUUUCACCAUCACACUGUCUCCCACUUGGUACUCUUUCAGCCUUCUUUUCCUAUCGGCUCAUUUCUUCAUUCUCCUAGCAGCUUUCUCAAGGCAUGCCCUAGAGCUGCUUGUAAGUAUUGUGGGUCAUCUUAGAUGAAUUGCCAUUUAAGUUCGUAGAAAGUGAAGGAUUUUGUAAAUUUUGUUAGGCAUUGAAUCCAAAGUUCGUAGAAAGUGAAGGAUUUCGUAAAUUCCAUCAAGAGUGACCGUUGCAAAGGAUUGUUUUCAAAUAUAUAUGUGGAAGAAAAAAAGUUAAAAAGUGCAUUAACUUGAAGUGGCCAAAGAUUUUGAUUAACAACUUAUACAUAAACUUCUGUCCAAAAUAUUAAUUAAAUGGUUAUAAUGGAUCAUUUCAUUGAUGAUGAUUGGAACUUGCACAAAAGAAUUUUGAACUUUUGUCAAAUAGCUAAUCAUAAAAGAGAGAAUAAAUAUACAAAAAGAUUGUUAGGAAUAUAUGAAAAGAAUAAAUAUACCUCAAACAUAUCUGUUUGAGCUUGUAGGGUUAGCGAUAAUUCAACCAACAGAGUUUUUUAGAAGAGUUUUGAAUGAAGAGAGGGAACAAAGAGGUGAUGUAAAACAGGAAGAAAAUAUUUACCACAUUGAGGGCAUGGAAGCUCUAAACCACCGCUCUCCUCCAGGCCCAAUAAAAAAUGAGGCCUUUUUUGGUUUCGCUUUUUCACAGACCCAAUGACCUAGAAGAAUUACAACCAUAAUCAAAAUGGGAAAAGUAGAAGAAAAUAAAAACAAAAUGGCACAAUAACCAUAUGAAAGACCUGUAGGAAGUUCUACAAGUGAACCCACGGUAGUUGACAAAUAAAAAAGAGGACACAUUGUAAAACUAAAAUGCCCACAUUACAAAGCAAGAAUUAAAAUACAUUACCUAGACAUUAGCUUCAUCUAAAGUUUAUAAUCAAAAUAAUCAUGUGGAAUUUAGAUUAAAGUAACCUUUCUCUCCAAUCAAAAGUGGGAGAUGUUGACACUGAUAUCUUGAAGAAAUUUACACCACACACCAAAAGCGAAGGACUAGAGAGGAAACAAUCUGGAUCUUCAGAAGCCAAAUUUUAAAAAAAACUUACUGUAGAAGAUUCAAGGAAGAAAGAAGGAACUCUAUUCUAAUUACGAUCAUUUAAAUCAACUAGUGUAGCAUUCAGCCCUCCCAUGUCGUUUGACAUCCAAUAUUAUUCCAAUAUAGUAAGAGAAAGCAGAAAGAGAAGUCGGAAGUUUGUGUAAUGGCUUUGCUCGGGAUGACUCAGGGGUGGAAUGGCUUUUCUCUGUUUCAAAAAAAAAAAGAUUGGAGCUAAAGUUCACUGCUUUAAUCCUGAAGGCUUCACUAGUUUUAUUGGUUUGCUUGAAUCAAUUCCAUCUCAUGAUCCUGGUCCAGAUUAUCAACUAUUUGAGCAUGCACCUUUUGUAUUGAGGUAUGUGUUGAAGAAAAGGUUUGCUCGUGGUUUCUAUGAUAAAGUAUUGCUGGCUUUUAAUGGCAACUGCCAAGAAGUAUUUAGUUCAGAAGGAGAAAAUGUUGUUGUUUCGUGCAUCUCAUCUUUGAAAGUCUUCAUUGCGAGAAACUAUGGCUGCUCUUCUAAUAUUUCUCAAGCUUAUUCUCUGAGAUUAUCUUGUUCAUCAUGAAUCGUGUUAUGGUCGAAAAAGGUGCUGGAAUCUAUUAAAGUGGCUUAUGGGAGAAAUAUUUUGGUGAUUAUUUUUACUCACGCCUGGGGGAUGAGUUUUCAAUUGGAACAUCAAACUUUGUCUUUGAAGAUUCAACAUGGUGUGUUGAGGUGUUGCAAAAGGAAGUACAACGUUUUGUUGAUGCUGUUAUUUUGAAAGAUUUUUUCGUUCCUCUUCUGGGUUUGGACUACUUUGGCAAUAUAGCUUUGCGAUCACUGGUUGAAUCUUUUUGCUAGUCUCUAGGUCUGAAUGGUUUCCUUUUGAGAGAGUUAUUUCGUUAUGCUUUGUAUUUAGAUCUCUUCGUUUUGGUUCUGUUUUAACUUCAUUUUUUAUGUUGGAUUUCACCUUUUUAGCUUGUUCUUUGCGUUUGUUUGUUUUGGUCAUUUUCCCUUGUAUUGGUCGAGAUCAUCUUUGGGCAGUUUGUUUGGAUAUUUUUGUCUUUUCUUAUUUUGUUCUUGGUAUAAUUCUCUUGUACUUUGAGCAUUAGUCUCAUUUUCCUUUAUUAAUAAAUAGUCUUGUCUCCGUUUCAAAAAAAAGUCCUAAGAGCAAAAUAAGAAAAUGACAGUCAUCCAAACAAACUAAACAAAGAUGAACCCAGACAAAACAUAUGGGAAAAUGACCAACAAACGAUCAAAAAGUAGAAAUAACGAAGAACCAAAGCAACAAAAAGUUGAGACAUUAGUAAAGAUCUUAAUACAAAGAAAAUAUACACCUUGAUGAAAAGCACCCACUUCAUACUGAAAUAUUGAAUACCACAUGCUUGAAUUUGAAAGGAGAAGGGAAAACCAUGAAGAGGCAAUCGGUUACUUUAAAACUAUCCAACCCAAAUAAUUUUUUCCAGAGAUCUUUGCCCUCCACUGAAAAUCAUGAUGACGAACACAACUUCCAAAAAGCUAAAACUUUUAAGUUAAUUGCAUCAAUUAGAAAUUUUUGCUCUUUCUUGAAUAUGAGAGAACCAGUUCUGAAUAAGUGUUCAAGAGACUUGAAUCCCAACACUUUAUCUGCAGCCUUCAAACCUUACAAAGGACCUGAUUAUUGGACCAAAAGUUAUCAAAUUAUUGAGAAAUUAUCUUCAUUAGCCUGGAUGAGGAAGGUUAUCAAAUUUUCAUUAAACCAAAAUGAUGCCACAAUCAUUAACUAAGGGCAGCAGAUCCUUAGGCAAUUCCGAGGGAACUUUGAUGGGAACAACGAUGACUUCAUCAAAUAGAGAAGAGAGAUCAGCCCCUUCAACAUCUUCAUUAUUUUUUAAAUCAAAACUAUUUGGAAACCCUAAGGACUCCUCACUACUAACACUAAAUGGAGACUCCAAGGUCUUGGAGAUCAGUUUGUCAAUGUUGGCACGACAAGGGGAGCCUCGCAAAAAAUUAACUUAAGAGAUAAAAAUGGGGAGUUUUGAAUAUUUGAAAUGCUUGAAUGGAGAGCCUGAGUUCACUGCUGAAAAGACAAUUAGAAGUCUGGAUUUUGGGGCUGCAAAUCUCCAAAAGGUCAGGAUUAUUUGCUAAGAUAGAAGGCUUUGAAUUAUGCUCCCGAGAGGGGGCUGAAAAUGGUAAUUUAAUGUCACAACCUCCAUUCAACUGACUUCAGUAAGGCUGAAAAUGGUAAUUUAAUGCUUCCAAGAAUAGUGCUUCAGAAUUUUCGGAGCAUGUACUUGGAGAGCUUUGUCACCUUGUGAAGGAUUAGUCUUGUUGCAGAAACCAAAAACUGAAGGAGAAGGAUCCGAGGAGGCCAAAAUAGGAAGUUGCCAUUAGAUGGAGGGAAAGCUGUAAUCUUUAAUUACUUUUCACCUAGAACAGACAUUUCCUAUGUUGUUAGUGUUGUUAGUCAGUUUAUGCAGGCAACCUACGAAGAACAUAUGGAAGUUGUGAAUCGAAUUGUGAAAUUUUUUAAAAGCUCUCCAGGUAAAGGUCUGAUGUUCAGGAAAACUAACUGGAAAUGCAUUGAGUGAGGCUUGUGUUGACUCUGAAUGGGCAAGAUCAGUUUUAGCUUUUGGAUGUUUUGUCUUCGUCAUCAUGAUUUUCAGUGGAGGGCAAAGAUCUCUAGAAAAAUUUAGUUGGGUUGGAUGGUUUUGAAGCAAUCGAUUGCCUCUUCUUGAUUCUCCCUUCUCCUUUCAAAUUGAAGCAUGUGCUAUUCAAAUUUUCAGUCUGAAGUGGGCGCUUUUCAUCAAAGUGUUUACUUUUUCUUUGUAUUAAGAUCCUUACUAGUGUCUCAACUCUUUGUUGCUUUGGUUGUUCCGUUGUUUCUACUUUGUGAUCAUUUGUUGGUCGUUUUCCCAUAUGUUUUGUUUGGGUUCAUCUUUUUUUAGUUUGUUUGGUUGGCUUUGUCUUUUUCUUAUUUUGCUCUUAGUAUAUUACUCUUGUACUUUGAGCAUUAGUCUCAUUUAUUGUUAAUAAAGAGGCUUGUCUCCGUUUCAAAAAAAAAAUAGUUUAUAGUUUCGAGGGUAUUUUAGUAUUUUACUUUACCCUAAGUUUAUUUCCUUUUUUGUACUAGGGCUGGUUAGAGCUAUAAAGUUGUCUUCUUUCGUAACUUUCUAUUAGACCUCCCAUAAUACUACAAUAUAGUAGGAAAAGAAGAAAGAUAAGUCGGAAGUUAUUGGGUAGUUCUGAUGUAACAAGUCAAGACAAUCUCGGGAUGGAAUAAUGUAAUUGCUCGGGACAAUCUCGGGGUGAACUCGGGGAAUGUUUUACUAUUUAGUCUUUGGUUACACACCAAGUUCUAAGUGUAGUGCUGUUAUUUUUCAGUUUUCUAGUCUUACAGUUAUUUAGGAGGGAAGGGGUAGUUUAAAGGGAAGGAGAGGAGUCUGUGAGAGGGGAAGAAGUUUUCAGCUUAUGAAUGGGCUGUUUUUCCUGGAAAGGAGAACAGGGUGGUAUGUUCUUGUUGUUUUGUUGUAUUUGUGUGUUUUAUUUCCAGGAUUGAUAAUCUAUCAAUCUGUCUUUGUUCUUAAGUAUCUUUUACCAAGUUGAAUAAAGAACAUCUAUGCAAGUGUUCGAUCACCUUCAUUGUGUGUUAAGAUAAUAAAAAGAGACUAUCCUAUUCUGGGUUUUCCAUGUAAAUCUUAAGUUCUCUUUUCUACUGUUUAACAAUAAUAUUUAACAUUCUCCCUCACUAUUCUCCCUCACUUUUGGGAUUGAAAUAUGAAGAACACCCAAAAAGUGGAAAUGAAUAUUAAUUAGGGAGGAAACAGAUUAGGGGUUUGAACACAAAGCCUCUUGAACCAACUUGCUUUGGUACCAUCUUAAAUCACCAAUUUCAUUAAUUCAAUGAAGAGACUUGUUUCCUUAUAAAAAAAUCAUCAAUUGAUUCAAAAGCUUAAAGGGCUUAUGGAUGACAACAAAUUUAAUAAAAUAUCUAACAAAUAGUAAAAAUUUAGAAAUUAGCAUUCCUAUCAUUGCCAUUACAUUAGUGCACAAGUAUGAUAUCAAAUAAGAUUACUUACCAGAUUUGAUUGUAUUAAUGAACAAGAAUCCAAAGUAGCAAUUUCUUCAACCGAACGUCUAAGGGAAGAAUCAGCUUGCAAUAUAUCCUAGAUAGAACAUGCAGCCUGUUAUGAUAUAUAUAUAUUUAUAUAUAUCUCAUAUGUCCUUUAUUGUAAUUUUACAUAAUCUCUAGGGUUUAGUUUAUUCUCUAUAUAAAUAUGUAACAUUCCUUUGACUCAAUAUGAAUAAGAACGAUACUUCUCUGAAUUCUAGAUUACAUGGUAUCAGAGCCAUUAGGGUUUCGAAUGGCCAUUAGCUUCCUCCUUCAUUAGGUUUAAGUUUAGGUUACCUUCCGCUGACCGUUUGUCGACACCGCCCAUACCAUAAGAAGCACCACCUCCGUCUUCCCAAGUCUGUCUUCGCCGAUCGCCGGAAAACACCGCGUGUGACAUUCACGCGCCGCCGGAUCCUCGUCGUCUUCACCCACGCGCCGGCGCGUGAGAGCACGUGAGACGUCCGAUUUGUCCUCCGUCUUCUGGGCUUGUAUUGAACCAUUGUUUCCGGUCAAUCUGUACCAUUGGGUCCAUCAAAUAGCACUCAGGUUCGACGAAAACUGAAGGUUACGCUAUUGGUUUUGGGUCUUUUUCCGAUUUUGCAGCUUUUUGGAUUGAUUUUCUCUUUGUUUGUGUGGACUAUAAUCAGUGUGUGACUUCACUAUGGCCGACAUAAAAAAUUUGGUAAAAUCCAACGUUAUUCCCUUAGCCUCUAAGAUCACAGAACAUAAGUUAAAUGGAUCCAAUUAUUACGAUUGGCGUCGGACAAUUUUAUUUUAUUUGAGAAGUACUGAUAUGGAUGAUCAUAUGACUGAAGAUCCCCCAAAAGAUGCAAAGCAGAAGAAGGAUUGGCUUCGUGAUGAUGCCCGUUUAUAUCUUCAGAUCAAGAAUUCAAUUGAGAGUGAGAUAAUUGGAUUGGUUGAUCACUGUGAGUCUGUUAAAGAACUUUUGGAAUUUUUGGAUUUUCUAUACUCAGGUAAAGAGCAAGUGCAUAGAAUGUUUGAAUUUUGUAUGCAAUUUUUUUCGUGCGGAACAGAAAGCUGAGUCUAUCACCAGCUACUUUAUGCGGCUUAAGAAGAUCACUGCCGAGCUUGGCUGGUUGUUACCUUUUAGUUCUGAUGUUAAAGUUCAACAAGCUCAACGAGAGAAGAUGAUUGUUAUGAAUUUUUUGAAUGGACUCUUACCUGAAUUUGAAAUGGCAAAGACACAGAUUCUCUCUGACUCUAAGAUUCCAUCAUUAGAUGAUGCCUUCACUCGCAUCCUUCGCAUUAAAAGCUCUCCGACUGGUGUGUCUAUUCCUCAACCCAGUAGUGAUCUCUUUAGCAAGAACAAUAAACAUCGGGCACCUCAGAGGAAUAGUACUGAUCAUCGAAAACCAGAGUCUGUAGAGAUUGUUUGUAACUACUGUCGUAAGCCAGGCCAUAUGAAACGUGAUUGUCGGAAAUUGCUAUAUAAGAAUAGUCAACGAUCUCAACAUGCUCAGAUAGCCUCCACAUGUGAUAUACCAGAGGCGUCAGUUACUAUUUCUGCAGAUGAGUUUGCUAAGUUUCAGAAUUACCAAGAGUCAUUACAAGCGUCAUCUUCCUCUACUCCGAUUGCAUCCACUGUUGCCCCCAGGUAAUAUAAAGUGUCUUCUUACAUCAUCUACCAAAUGGGUCAUAGACUCUGGUGCCACAGCUCAUAUGACAUGUAAUUCUCACCUAUUUUCUAGACCGUUGUCCCCUGCCCCUUUUCCAUCUGUUACAUUGGCCGAUGGCUCCACAUCUUCUGUUCUUGGCUCUGGCACUAUUCACCUUACCCCAUCCUUUUCUCUCUCUUCUGUGUUACAUUUGCCUAACUUAUCCUUUAAUUUAAUUUCUACUAGUCAACUUACUCAUGACCUAAAUUGUGUUGUCAUGUUCUUUUCUGGCUUGAUUGCUUGGUAGAGUGAUUAUUGAGAUCAGGAGGCCUUUAUCUCUUUGAUCAUCAAGUAUCGCAAGCUGUGGCGUGUCCUGUCGUUCCCUCUCCUUUUGAAGUCCAUUGUCGUUUAGGUCAUCCAUCUUUGUUCGUGUUGAAGAAACUUUAUCCAGAAUUUAGGUCUUUGUCCUCUUUAAAUUGUGAUUCGUGUCAAUUUGCGAAAUUUCAUCGUCUUAGUUCGAGUCCUCGAGUCGAUAAACGAGCAAUUGCUCCAUUUGAGUUAGUUCAUUCUGAUAUUUGGGGUCCGUGUCCAGUUGUAUCUCAAACAGGCUUUCGUUAUUUUGUUACUUUUGUUGACGAUCAUUCUCGUCUAACUUGGUUAUAUUUAAUGAAAAAUCGUUCUGAGUUAUUAUCUCAUUUUUGUGCCUUUCAUACUGAAAUAAAAAACCAAUUUAAUGUCUCUAUCAAAACUUUGCGUACUGAUAAUGCGGGUGAAUAUUUUUCUCAUUCUCUUGGCUCUUACUUGUGUGAAAAUGGCAUUAUUCAUCAAUCUUCCUGUGCUGACACUCCAUCUCAAAAUGGUGUUGCAGAGCGGAAAAAAUAGGCAUUUACUUGAAACUGCCCGUGCUUUAUCGUUUCAAAUGCAUGUUUCAAAAAUCUUUUGGGUUGAUGCUGUCUCUACAGCUUGUUUUUUGAUUAAUAGAAUGCCUUCCUCUGUUCUUAAUGGUGAGAUUCCCUAUCGUGUUCUUUUUCCUACCAAGCAUUUGUUUCCUAUUGCUCCUAAGAUAUUUGGUUGUGUCUGUUUUGUUCGCAACGUUCGUCCUCAUCAUACUAAGUUAGAUCCCAAAUCCUUGAAGUAUAUCUUCUUGGGUUAUUCACGUGUUCAAAAGGGUUAUCGUUGUUAUUGUCCUACCCUUCAAAUGGUUUCGCCUGAUGAUGCAUUUUUUUAGGAUACACCAUUUACUUCAUCACCAUCGAGUUCGUGUCAGGGGGAGGGUGACAAUCUUUUUAUAUAUGAGGUUACCUCUCCCACACCAUCCUUGUCUACUGAUGUGCCUCCUUCCCGCCCGUUGAUUUCUCAAGUCUACUCCCGACGACCUCCACCACAACCUUCAGACUCAUGUCCUCCAUCAAUGCUUCCUUCAUCAUGUGAUCCAGCGCCAAGUGAUGAUCUUCCCAUUGCUCUUCGCAAAGGUAAACGCAAGUGUACUUACCCCGUUUCUUCCUUUAUUUCCUAUCACCAGUUAUCUCCCUCCACAUAUGCGUUUAUUACGUCUCUUGAGUCCACAUCUAUUCCUAACUCUGUUCAUGAAGCUUUGUCUCAUCCUGGCUGGCAAAAUGCAAUGAUUGAGGAGAUGACUGCUUUAGAUGAUAAUGGUACUUGGGAUUUGGUAUCUCGUCCUGCAGGAAAGAAGGCCAUUGGUUGUAAAUGGGUGUUUGCUGUCAAGAUGAAUCCUGAUGGAACAGUGGCUCGUUUAAAGGCUCGCCUUGUUGCCAAAGGUUAUGCUCAAAUCUAUGGCACUGAUUAUUCAGAUACAUUCUCUCCGGUUGCCAAGUUAACUUCCAUUCGCCUAUUUCUUUCCAUGGCUGCUACCAAUAAAUGGUCGUUGCAUCAACUUGACAUUAAGAAUGCUUUUCUUCACGGUGAUCUUCAAGAGGAAGUUUAUAUGGAACAACCACCAGGGUUUGUUGCUCAGGGGGAGAGUGAUAAAGUAUGUCGCCUUCGAAAAUCUCUGUAUGGUUUGAAACAGAGUCCUCGUGCGUGGUUUGGUAAGUUUAGUCAAGCCCUUGUAUGCUUUGGUAUGAAGAAGAGUACAUCUGAUCAUUCAGUUUUCUAUCGCCGAUCUGAGAAGGGUAUAGUUCUACUAGUUGUAUAUGUUGAUGAUAUUGUUAUUACUGGAAAUGAUGCAUUGGGUAUUUCGUCUCUCAAAACUUUCCUUCAGGGUCAGUUUUAUACAAAAGAUUUGGGCCAAUUGAAAUAUUUUUUGGGCAUUGAAGUGAUGAGAAGCAAGAAAGGUAUUUAUUUGUCUCAACGAAAAUAUGUACUUGAUUUGUUGUCUGAAACAGGAAAAUUAGGCGCCAAACCAAGUGGCACUCCAAUGAUGCCAAAUCAGCAACUUGUUAAAGAAGGAGAAUUAUGUAAAGAUCCUGAGAGAUAUAGGAGAUUAGUUGGGAAGUUGAACUACUUAACAGUGACUCGACCAGACAUUGCAUAUUCUGUAAGUGUUGUAAGUCAAUUCAUGUCUUCCCCUACAGUGGAUCAUUGGGCUGCAGUAGAGCAGAUUUUGUGUUAUCUAAAAGCUGCUCCUGGAAGUGGGAUCUUAUACAAAGAUCAUGGACAUACGUGAGUUGAAUGUUUUUCUGAUGCUGAUUGGGUGGGGUCUCGUGAGGAUAGAAGAUCAACUUCUAGAUAUUGUGUCUUUGUAGGUGGAAACUUAGUAUCAUGGAAGAGUAAGUUUGAGUGAUGAGUCAGAAUAUAGAGCUAUGGCACAAUCUGUGUAUGAAAUAGUAUGGAUUCACCAACUAUUGUCUGAGAUAGGCUUCAGUAUUACCGUGCCAGCUAAAUUAUAGUGUGAUAAUCAAGCUGCACUUCAUAUUGCAUCUAAUCCAGUAUUUCAUGAACGAACUAAACAUAUUGAGGUGGAUUGUCACUUCAUUCGUGAGAAAAUCCAAGAUGGGUUGGUGUCCACAGGAUAUGUGAAGACCGGAGAACAAUUGGGAGAUAUUCUAACUAAAGCUUUAAAUGGAGCAAGGAUAAGCUAUAUGUGCAACAAGCUGGGCAUGAUCGACAUAUUUGCUCCAGCUUGAGGGGGAGUGUUAUGAUAUAUAUAUAUUUAUAUAUAUCUCAUAUGUCCUUUAUUGUAAUUUUACAUAGUCUCUAGGGUUUAGUUUAUUCUCUAUAUAAAUAUGUAACAUUCCUUUGACUCAAUAUGAAUAAGAACGAUAUUUCUCUUAAUUCUAGAUUACACAGCCAACCAGUUAUGAGAUAGAAACUGAAAAAAUAAAUAAAUAAAGACUUGGUACAAUAAGAAUUAAAAUGUUUAUAGAACUGCUGAAUUGAUGCAGGGGGAUUAAGAAAUCUACCGUGUUGGAUGUUGUUAGGAUCUUGGUUGCGAGAAAUAAGAAAAAAAUUGUCUUGUAUAAAAUGUGAAAAUACAAUAUCAAUAGCCUCUCGAGAGGACUAUAUCUCUACCCAAGUUCCAUAUUAGACAAUCCCCAAAAUAACCCCUCCUCCUCUAAGAUCCUAAAGGUUGAGAACAAUAAAAUCUUAUUCCUUUCCAAGUGCCCUAUGGUCUUUCUAAAGAUACAAAUUUGGCUUAGCUACGAUGUAGGAAUAAAACCUAAAUAAUAACAAAAUACCUAAAAUAUUUAGAUAGAAAAGAUAUUGCUAAAUAUGGGCACAUCUAAAUCUACAAUACAUAAUUCUACACUCCCUUCAACUUGGUACAUAGAUGUCAUGCAUUUCUAACUCGCUCACAAGAUCCUGAAACAUUGGUUUAAACAAUCCCUUGGUGAAAAUAUUUGCAGUCUGGUCUUUGGAAGGAACAAAAGGGAUGCAAACUACUCCUUCCUCCAGAGUCCCUUUAAUGAAGUGUUGAUCUACCUAUAUAUGUUUGUACAGUCAUGUUGAACUGGUUUUUGAGAAAUACCUAUAGCAGCUUUGUCGUCACAGUAGAGCUUAAUUGGUAAGUAUCCACAACAUCUCACACACUCCAAACGGAAGGAUAAAUUAAUUAAAGUAGGUAAGUUCUCUCUCCUCUCUCCCCUCCGCAUUUUCAGUUAUCUGUUUCUCCGACAAUAAUGAAAGGAAUGAAGUAGAAAGCUGCAGGGAAGGCUCUCCUUACUGCAUAUGGCACAAGCAUCAUUUAUUCCAAGUUGAAGAUAUGGAGGCGAACAAAAUGUUGUCAUGUAUCACUAUCAUAUGUUUUAAAAGUUGUAUGGUAGCCUUAAAUGACAUGUCUAUUCUUAGUUCCGUUUGGAUAUGAUGAGGACGAUGAAGGGAUGUCAACCUAGUUGAGAUAUCCAAGUGCAUCUGCUGAACAUAAAUUUUCUUUUUCUUAUUAUAUAAACCUCUUGCACUAUGAGCUUUUAUCUCAUUUAUUUUUAAUAAAAGUGGCUUGUUUUCCUUUAAAAAAAAAAAAUCAAGCAUUCAACUAUGCUGGUUUCAAGAGGCCAUCGAGAAACUACUGUCAGAGUGCUGAAAAUCAAUAUUUUUACGAGAAAGAAAGAAUAGACAAUGGCAUAACAGAAGUCUCAAGAUUCAGAUCACAGAAAGGUUGGGUGUUAAGAUGCAAUUUUUGGCCUUGAAUAGGAGGAAGACCAUUCAUACAUAUUCUAUCGGGUGAGGAAAAACAGGGAUGGAAAAUGUUUCUCAAUAUGUUGAAGAGCUUCAAAUCAAAGCAUGAUUACAUAAUGUGGCAUUCAGAACAGACCAAGCUGAAAAUGUGUCAUUCUGAAGAUGCAAACAGACCGCAAGAAGAGAAGAUGGAUAGCUAUGUGAACAAGGGCCAGUCGAAAAAGGAAUCCUCUGUGUUCGAUUUGAAAAAACAGAGCAUUCAUCAAAAGUGGAUUAUCAAGAAUUCAAAGGUCGUCAUAGAUUUUGACACUUUAUGGGUUGUCACUCGUCUUUUUGAGUUCAAUAGUUCGUAGAGAUUAAAGAAACAUUGCAAACAUACUUUCAAUUGAGGGUUAUACAUACUUUCAAUUGAGAGUUAUCGUAAAACCGUUGUCUGCAUAGAAUGGUCUAAUUGAUAUAGAUCAAGGAUCGUUAAAAGAACUUGUGGAACAACCGAGGAAAUGGCAGGAAUUUGGCGUCUUUCAUCUAAAACUCAAAAAGUGGGAUAUGGUAGCACAUAGCAGAUCUCUGUAUGCAAGGGGAUAUGGUGGAUGGAUUUCGAUUGAGAACCUCCCUUUAAACCACUGGAAGAAUCAAACAUUUGAAGUUAUUGGGCUUAUUUUGGGGGCUUGGCAGAGACAUGGAAACUUUAAAGUUUUUAAAUGUAUCAGAAGCCAAAAUUCAAGUCAAAGAAAACCUUUGUGGGUUCAUUCCAGCAAUGAUAGAAAUCAAUGACGAGAAGAAAGGAAGCAUUUUCUUAAAUUUUGGUGAUAUCUCAUCCAUCACUCCACCAAGUAAAGUUGGAGGGGAUUUAUUUGUUUGUGAUUUUUCAAACCCAGUUGAUGGUAGAUUAAAUCAAGUUUUGAAGGAUGAAGAAAUCGAAAAUGAUCCAUUAAGUGGUAAGUUUGAAUUUCUUUUGCCAGAAAAGUUGCAUGCACAAUUUGCCAGAUGCCCAUUUGUCCAAUCAGUAAAUCUUGGUUCCUACAAACUGAAAAAUUGAGACCUUGCUCGAAGAGAAGCUGGAAGUCCUUAACCGUUCAUUUCUAUUCAAUCAUCCAAGAGCCGGUUGGGUUCCCCGUUUUUUUUUAAAUUGCAGCAAUGAAUUUUAUUCAAAAGAAGUGCAUUGUCACUCCGUAGAAUUGCAAUUUUUGCAUUGAACUAUGUUUUUACGGUGUGAUAGAAGUCCCGAAAUAUGGAAGUGACCUCAGAUUUGUCGAAGAUGAGAAAGACCCGGGUAAGAUGGGUAUGGUCAUCAAUGAAGGUUAAAACCACCAUUUUCCAAAAGAGGUAGUAACCUUAGACGAACCCCAGACAUCACUUUGGAUAAGGGUGAAAGGUUGGAUUGGUUUGUAUGGUUGUGAGGUAAAGGAGACCUGACGUUGUUUAGCCCGAAUACACACAUCACAAGAUAAGGUAUAAACAUCAACUUUAGAAAGAAAAAAUGGAGAAAUAAGUGUUUCAUAUAUUAAAAAUUGGGGUGGCCCAAACGAAAAUGCCACAACAUACCGUCUUUUUCUGAAGUAGAGGGUAUCAACCUAGUUGAGAUGUCCUAAUGCACCUACUUAUCCUUAGAUUUUGCUCAUGUACUUUGAGCAUUGGCUCUAGAUUAUUAUCAUUAAUUAAUAGAGAUGUUCCCAUUUUAAAAGAGUAUAAUAUAUACAUGAAUUAUAGGAGCUUAUUAAUCUUUUUUCCUUUAUUGUAAUUUACUAGUCUUUAUUUAGGGUUUCCACGUGGGCCUAUAUGUACUGAAUUAUAUUGUAUAGAAUGAAGUAAGGAGUUAUUUCUUGUUUCGCUCUAACUCAUACCAAUCAACAGUUUUCUUCAGUAAGAUGCUUAAGUACGAUAUUACCUCCGCAAUGUUCAGCAAGUAGUGGUUUCUUCCAACAAACUGCACGACUGCUCUACAUUGGGGACAAAGUACAUUUGUAUGCUUCUCUUGGGAUCUUUUUAACCACUCCGAGAAACAUCCAUUGCUGUCAACUAACACAAUUAAAUGAAAAUAACUGUAUUGAAAGACGAACUAGCCAACCAAAAAACAAACUAACAGGCCCACCAAAAGUUGUGGAAGCAAGGAGCGGCUGUGACAACAUCAUGCCAUAUGUUUAAACAAAUACUGCAUUUUGCGUGCUCAACAUCCACAGAAAUCUGGACAAAUUCAAACAACCCCUAGAAUUGAGUAUUUCUAAAAGGAUGGUUAGAACCUAAUAUCACAUUCUGAUAACCAAAUUACCAAAACAUGACAAUUACCAAUCACCUUUAAGCCUUUGCAUAAUUUUGAAUCUGACAACAUUUCAAAUUUAAAGCUCAAAUUCCCUGGAAAUUACAAUCGAAAAGCUCCAUAAGACAAGCAGUUCUACAUUUUCAAUCAAACCAUAAAAAAUAUCUGUGCAGUUAGCUUUCGGAUUUCGCUAUAAGAAAAAUUGAAUAAGAAAAGAUUCCUGAAAAUAUUCAAAGCCAAAACCAAAGGUAAGCAUAAGAUACUCUCCAAUUGGCUUAAAUUAAACAAGAAUUGAUUAGUUCUUAUAAAAAAGAGUUGACAAAAAUACAGAAGGAUUUUGCAAGUGUUGUUAGAAGUCAAAGAAACUAAGAAAAAUUAAUUUAUUUACUUAGCUCAUCUAUUAAUUAACAACCUAAUAUUUGUUUAAAAGAAGGAAACGAAUCUCAUUUAUUAUAAAAAAUGAGGAAAGCUCAUACAAAAGGGUUAUAGAAUGAGCAAUAAAGAACUAGCGAUUAAUAGACGCACCAGGACAUCUCAACUAGGCUGACACCCCCUUCGCGUCCUCAUCAUAUCCGAAAAAUAGAGAAAUUAAAUGACAUUGAGGAAGUAUAGAUGGUCCAAAACAGUACAAUGAGGAAACGAAUCUCAUUUAUUAUAAAAAAAUGAGGAAAGCUCAAAGUACAAAAGGGUUAUACAAUGAGCAAUUAAAGAACUAGAGAUCAAUAGACGCACCCGGACAUCUCAACUAGGCUGACACCCCCUUAGCGUCCUCAUCAUAUUCGAAAAUAGAGAAAUUAAAUGACAUUGAGGAAGUAUAGAUGGUCCAAAACAAUACGAUGUCAUUAAGGGAAGAAAGGUAAGUUCUCUCCCUCCUCCCUCCUCUCUCCUCCCUCUAUCCUCUUUCCUUUCGGCUGCCGGCAUUUUCAUCCAAAUAUGGAAGUAGUCAACUGCAAAGUCCUCGAGUCUCAUUACUGUACUUGGAAAGUGGGAAAUCAGAUUCACGUUGAAGAUGUGGAAGCUUGUAGAACCUUGUCGGUCUCCAGAUUUCAUCUAGAAUGGUUGUUGACGGCGGUCUCAAAAUUAUUAAGAGGGCCAGGGGACAAGUUCUUUCAAAAGCUAGGUGAAGUAGAUAGAGGUAGAUUGAAAGCUUUGAAAUUUAAAACAAAGACUGGAUUGGUAUUAAGCUGUGACUUUUGGCCUUCAUUAGGAGGGCUUUCUAAUAUAAGGGUGUGCUCGAGGGAAAACAAAUAGGGAUGGAGAUCCUUUCUAAAUAUGCUGGACAAUUUUUGUUCUAGGGAGGAAUAUGUCAAUUGGUUUUCUAGAAAUUACUUGAAGCACAUUCCCAAUAAUAUGGAAAGCAACCUGAGUUAUACAGAUAAAGUCAAACAGAAAAAGAGCAAUGCGUCUGUCAUAAAGAAAGCUUCCAGAGAUUGCAAUAGUCCUGUAGUGGUGGCCGAUACAAAAGUAGCAAAGGUUUCCCCUUGUCCUUUCUCAGGUUUGAAUAGCGGAAAGCAAAAGAAUUGGGUAAUUAGGAAUUUUGAAGUUAUCCCAACCAAUUUUGAAAACCUUAGGAUCACUACUAAGCUCUUUGCCUUCGAUGAUUGGAAGAGAAUUCGAAAGAUGUUAAAGAACUAUUUCCAAGCAAAGAUAGUUAUUAAUCCUUUAAUUGAUGAGAAUGCUCUCAUUAGUUUUGACCAAGGCUCGAUAAAGGAUCUCAUCAAUAAUGAAGGGAAAUGGCAGGCAAUGGGCUCUUUUCACCUAAAUUUUGAAAGAUGGGAUAAACACAAACAAUCGGCCGCUCACCAUGAAAGACUAUGGAGGAUGGCUCAAAAUAAAGAACCUCCCUUUGGAUUACUGGAGCAGGAAAAACUUCAAGGUUAUCGUGGAUCAUUUUGGAGAACUUGAAAGCAUUGCCAUGGACACUUUAAAUCUUACCAAUUACAGUCAAAUUAGGAUUCAAGUUAAGCAAAAUCUUUGCGGUUCUGUACCUUCCACGAUUGAGAUUACUGAUCUUAAAAGGGGAAACAUUUUUUUAAACUUCGGUGAUUUCAAAUGUUUGAAUCCUCCCGUUCCUACUGUUGGUACUAUUAUGGUUAAUGAUUUUAGAAAUUCUAUUGACUUUUUAAGAAUUAGGGAGGCCUUGCAAAAUGAAGGUUCAGACCUCCCUUUUUUCCCCUCAGUUUUAAAUCUCCCAAAAUCAACUUUUGCACAUCUUCACAUAGCAAGAAAUCCAUUUGCAAUUCUGGAACACCUUCAAGAACCCUCAUCGGCCCCGGAGAAGACAAAAGAAGCAAGAAGUUGGGCCGAAACUGCUUUAAUUGCACUGGAAUUCAAAAAGUCAUCUUUAUUGGAUUCUGUAAAACCUAUUAAGAACGGCUGUCUAGUUGGUUUUGUGGGCUACACCAAGUUAGAUUCCCCUUUUAAAAAACAGAGGCCCAACGAUCUCCCUCUCAAAGAACCUCAGUCAGAUGCUGCAUUCCAAAGUUCUCCAGAAACUAGCAAUUUAAACAGAUUGAGUCAGAGUAAAGGAAAAAACAAGUCAACUCCCCGAAAUUUUGUCUGACAUUCAAAAGAAGAUGUCUUUCAACAACACAUGAACUGCUCUCCUAAAGUCUGAAUCAAUUGGGGCUUGUUCUCUCAAAGCCCUUCUUUUGGAUCCCCACCAGAAACUUAAACUCAAGCCCUCCCCUUUCGAAGAUAACCCGAACCUCUUGAAGGUGUGUACUUCCAAAGUCCAUGCCUCUGAUUCUCUCAGCAGGUUAGUAACUGAUAUUCCUGCUCCAAAAAUUUUCAAUUAUUCGAGUUUCACAGACCCUAACACAAAGGUAACGUUAUUACAAGGUUCCCCUUUGUCAUUCUGUUGUUUCCACCAAGAAGCAAGCAGAGUUGGAGGUAGACUCACCCUCCAGUGUUAGUAGUGAAGAAUCAACGGGCUUGAGGUGUCCUUCUGAUCAUAAGGCUGUUGCAGAGAUUGAAGGGAUGGAUUUAGACAUUCUUUGUGAAGAUGAUUGUGUCCCGCUAGACAAUGCCCCUUGGUCCUCCCCACUAAAAUCCUUGGAUUUUCCAAAGGACUUGGUGUCCGUUGUCAAAGAUUGUGGUAUUAUUCUGGUCAAAGCAAUUUAGGAAGUAUUUCCGUCACCACAAUUUUGUUACUGCCACCACUGAAGGAAUCUAAAAUGAAAAGAUUUAAUAAUGCUUUUAUAGAACAUUUCAGAGCUCUAGGGUCAUUGGCUGGUUCUCUGUGGAUUCGGUAGGAUUUUCUGAUGCGUUGCUUACCAUGUGGAUUAGAAGCUGGAUCUUUCUGGUGCUCUUUAAGUCUAGAAUUUAAUGAUUACUAAUAUGGUAAAUAAUAUACUUACAGAUAACAAACUAGAGAAGGCUUCCAUACUAUGAUAUCAACAAUGCGAAACCAAAUAAUUCUAAAUCAUCCACAGUUAAACUCUCUCCUUCACAAACAAGAAAGAGUUUGAAGAAAUACUAACCAUCCCGAACUGGACCCGAAACAAUUUCGCUUCCACACUUGAUGAAAGUAGUUUCAUCCUUUUGAACAAGAGUCUCAUCGACAAUGAUAGCAUUUGAACUAUAACACCCAAAACACAAGAUAAAAUAUACUAUAAGAAAAAAAGAAGAGAGAGAGACAAAGAAAGGGAGGCUAUAAAGACAAGAAAUAUAAUUUCAAACAUCACUGCACAAUCUCAAAUCCCAUAAGUAACAUUUAAUAAAAACAAUUCAUAGUGGUAAUAACAAAGGAUGACCAGGACUUUCUUCAUUCAAAUAUGCUUUUUUGUAAACAAGAAACAAAUUGAUUGAUUGAAAAGAAAGAAGUCAAGGAACAGAAAGAAAACAUUAAAGAACAAUGCGAAAUGAAGAAAUAAUUUAAUGAAUUUCUCUCCAGUGUCAAAAGUUUAGAAUUAUCAAUUGCAACUAGAAUGAUUUUCUUAAUCAUGCCUAACCGUUGCUGGUUCAUUUUCUCCGUUGCAGUUUUUUCUGACCAAAGUUUUGAAGAUUUGAAGGCUUGAUCUUGUUUAUUUGUAUUUUGAGAUUGUAUUGUUUCUCGGGGUUUUUUCUGAAUUUUCUGUUCAUUUUUUUUUACAGUUUUUUCUGGUUCCUUGUAAUAGGCUGAUUGUUUUUAAAUUGCUCCUCUGUUGGUUUCUUGUGUUGCUUUGUUGUUUUCUUUUCCAAGAUAUGAUGAUUGGCGCUAUGGAAGUGUUAACCUAGUUGAGAUGUCCGGGUGCGCCUCUUGAUCCUAUAGGUUCCCCCUUUCUUUUUCUUCUUUAUUGCUCCCUUUGUAUAAAUCUCUUGUAGUUAGUGUUCUUAUUAAUAAAGAAAUUUUUGUCUCCGUUUUAAAAAAAAAAAUUGCACCUGCUAACAUGGUCAUCUUGAUUGUCACUAACACGUAAAACGUAGCUUUUGAUUAGCUCAAAGUUGGAUAUAGUUCUCUCUCCUCUCUCCUCUCUCCCCUCCCCUCCCCUCCUUCCUUUCUCCCCUAACCACACUCCAGCCCCCUUUUUCUCCUCCUGGGUUUUCAUCCUUCUUCUCCAGUAAGUCCCCUAGAGCCUAUUCUUCUUGUUAUUCCUCGUUUAAGUGGCAGUCUGGUUUUGGUCAUAAUGGAAGUAGAAAGAUGCAAAGUAGCGAACACACUUUACUGUAUUUGGUUCAACAAAGAAUACUUCCAUAAAGAAGAUGUGGAAGCUUGAAAGAUCUUGACAUUAUCAAACACUCAACUCAGAUGGUUCUUGAAGGAGAUUUCAUAAUUCUUGCAUGGCCUUGAGAAUGGUUUUCUUUUUCGAAACGGUUUCGAUGAUUUUGGAAGUACAAGGCUCUUAAAAUUUAUGUCAAUAGUAGGUUGGGUUAUGAGUUGUGUAGCUUGGAAGAGGAACAAAAGAUUAUCCUUCAUCAAUAAAUUAUUUGCAUGUAACUGUUACGUAAAAAAAAUGUUGGAAAUAGAUGUCACAUUUAAAGAAAUUACUGAAAAUUGUUUUACGAAAAUAAGAUAAUUUGGUAAAUUAAAUAUACGAAAUUCGUGUUGGAUUUAGAAUACGAAUUUUUAAAAAAAUGUAUAAAAAAAUAAAUUUCAUAACACUACCUACACAAUCCUUCCUUCAAACACAUCUUAUCAUAACCACACCAUAACCCUUCAUACAUAACUCUUCCCCCAAACACAUUUUAUCAUAAUCACCUCAUAACUCUUCCUACACAACCCUUCCUCCAAACACAUACUAUCAUAAUACUAGGUUUAUCAUAACACUAGUUUAUCAUGACACUAACCCUCUAUAACUCAACCCUUCCCUCAAACACACACUUAUUGAUCAAAGAUGGGGAUGAAAACACCAGCUUCUUUCACCAAAUUUGUAUGGCAAGUCAAAAAAGGAACUUCAUUUCGAAAAUCAAAGAUGAGACAGGAACUUCUCAUACGUCCAACAAGACGAUAGCAGAUACUUUCAUCAAGUUCUAUGGAGCUCUCUUUAAUGGAGGUAAAAAAGACGAUCUUUAUUGAAAAUCUAGACUAGAAGCCGAUCAAUGUUUCUUUCUAUUCCUCCCUCUGUCGCCCUUUCUUUGAGGAAGAGAUCAAAAAUAUAAUUUUCUCUUGCAAUAGCAACAAAGCUCCGGGAUCCGAUGGUUUUCCUUUUGGCACUCAAUCAAGAGUGAUAUCAUGAAGGUUUUCGAUGAUUUUCAUUCAAAAGGGAUCAUCAACAACACCUUCCUUGCUCUAAUCCCAAAAAGAACGUCUGCAAAAUGCCUAAGGAUUUUAGGCCCAUAAGUCUUACAACUUCAUUGUACAAGAUCAUUGCUAAAACUUUAGCCAACAUUCUAAAGCCCACAUUGCCAGAUACAAUCUCCAAAAAUCAGCUUGCAUUUGUUAAAGGUCAUCAAAUAACAGAUGCUAACCUUAUGGCCAAUGAAGCGGUUAACUUCUGGAAAGCUAGUAAAACAAAAGGAUUUGUCAUAAAGCUGGACAUUAAAAAGGCUUUCGACAAGAUAAGUUGGAGUUUCAUUAACUACAUGCUGCGUGUAAAAAAUUUUCCUCUCAAAUGGAGAAAUUGGAUCAAAGCUUGCAUAGGCAAUGUGGUUUACUCCAUCCUCAUCAAUGGCAAGCCCCAUGGCUGAAUUCCUGCACACAGGGGCAUUCGUCAAGGUGUUCCCAUUUCUCCCUUUAUUUUUGUUCUUGCCAUGGACUAUCUAAGCAAAGCUUUUAUUCUAUCUGGAGAAUAACAACUCGAUAAAGAGAGUCAAGUUCGACAACAAUUGUAGCUUAACUCAUAUUCUUUUUGCGGAUGAUAUCCUUCACUUUGUUGAAGACUAUGACGUUGCUCUGGAAAAUUCGAAUAUGGCUUUAACUUUCUCUGAAAAAGCUUCAGGACUAAACAUAAAUUUAUCAAAGUCCACUAUCUGUCUCAUAAACAUUUAAGAAGAAUGUUCAAGUGAGGUGGCUGCCAUAUGGAAUAUUCCUAUCCAACACUUACAGAUUCUUUAUCUUGGAGUCCCCCUAGGAGGCAACCCAAAGUCAGCCUCUUUUUGGGAAAAGGUUGAUAACAAAAUCAACAAGAAGCUCAAUAACAGGAAUUACUCCCAACUUUCAAAAGGUUGAAAACCCACUCUAAUUAACUCCACUUUAUAUAGCCUGCCAACCUACCAGCUGUCUGUAUUCCAAGCCCCAUCUGCUGUCCACAAAAAAAAUUGAAAAAUAUUGGAAACUUUUUGUGGAAAGGAUCCAACACGACAAAAGGUUCCCAUUUAAUUAGUUGGGCUAAAAUUACUACUCCAAAGGCCAAAGGGGGGCUUGGGGUGUCAAAGCUUUGGGACACAAAUUUUUCCCUACUUAGGAAAUGGUUGAGGAGAUUUCAUAAUGAGCCAAAUGCUCUUUGGAGGAAAAUCAUAUCAGAUAAAUACAAAGAAUCUCUUCUAGGAAAAAUCCCAACAUUGGGUAAGUUCAGCACUGCCAAAGCCCCUUGGAGGAGCAUUGUAAAAGGCCUAGAUUGGUUUGAAACAAACAUUUCGUGGGAAAUAAAUAAUGGAUAAAUGGUUUCUUUAUGGCAUAACAAGUGGAGUUCAAAUGGUCCUCUAGCCACUGCCUUCCCGAAACUAUACGCUCUCUCUCAAGCCAAAAACAGUUCUGUAAAAGAGAUGUGAAUUUCCUCGGAUAAGAAGUGGAAUUUAAAGCCGUGUAAGCCGCUGAAUGAUAGAGAAAUUGCCCUCUGGAAUCAGAUCUCUUUAGAGCUUCCUCGUCCAAAGGAAGACAAAGGCAUGUGAAAACCUACUUCGAAGCUGGAAAACAACAAGCUAUUCACCACGACUUCUGUCAAAAAGGCCAUCCAAUUUUCCCCUCUUAAUGGGAAUAAUGGAGUCGACCCACAGAUUUUCAAAAUUCUUUGGAAAUCUCUAUCUCAAAGAAAUGUAAAUUCUUCCUUUGGUCCAUCCUUCAUGAAAGUAUCAACACUAGGGAGGUUCUUUAAAGAAGAUUGCCAAAAACCUGUUUAAAUCCAAACUGGUGUGUUAUGUGCCACUCUCAUUGCGAAACAAGUGAUCAUUUACUUGUAAACUGUCGAGCAGCUAACUUUCUUUGGGACAACUUACGGAUUCAAACUAGGUAUCAUCAAUUGUUCAACGAUUUAAAAUAAGUUGCGCGGUCCCUUUCCCAUUUGAAUACUUCGAACAGAAGAAACAUUAUUAUUCUAAAUGCAACGAUAGCUAUCCUUUGGAGCAUUUGGACCGAAAGAAAUAGAAGAAUAUUUGCUAAUGAGCAAAAUAACUUAACCUCUGGGAAGACUGCUGUAAUUAUAUAGGUAUGUGGUGUAGCCGCCAUCACCUAUUCAAAGAUCAUUCUUCUAGUUCGUUAGCUCUCAACUUCUCCACUCUUCUACACUAAGAGCUUUUGGGCUUCUCUCUAGCCUUUUGUAAUUUCUUGACUUAUUAAUAAAUUCGGUGUCGGGAGUUUCAUACUCUUGACAUUAGUCUCCUUUUCCAAAAAAAAAAACCCAGCCAAAUUAGCCCUCCAUUCCUCACCGAAAGCUGAUUUAAUGGGUAUCUACAUAAUGGAGGAAAGGAACCAUAUUCAAAAAAGCACGCUUCAUUGGCUAAGAGAAGGGGGAUGAGAAUUCAGGUUUCUUUCACAGGCUCUUGGCUGCAAAGAAAAGAAGAAUCUUAAUAUCAGAAUGAUUCAAUGAGCAAAGGGAAGCAACCAAGUCUUUUCCAAAUAUAGAAAGAUUAAUUUUGGGGUUUUAUGACGACUUGUACAAGAAAAUUCCAGGGCCAAGAUACAUACCUCUAAUCUUUGAUUGGCCGUGUAUUACUCCAAUUCAGAAUGCGGCUCUUACUGCCAAUUUUACUGAAGCAGAAACAUUCAAGCUUUAAAAGCCCUUGGAAAGAACAAAGCUCUGGUUCUCGAUGGUUUCAUGGCUGAAUUCUUCUUAAAACAUUGGCAGCUGGUUAAGGAGUCUUUCACUGCCCUAUUUGAAGAUUUUUAAGAGAAUGGAAGGCUUAAUGCUAGUGUGCAGAAAAUUUUCAUUUGUCGACUGUGAAAGGAGGAGCGGACCUUGUAAAGGACUUCAGACCAAUCAGCCUCCCGACAUUACCUUGUAGCUAAAGUCUUGGCGGCAUGACUAAAAUCUGUUAUCACCAAUAUCAUCAGCCCCUCUCAAAGCACCUUCAUUGAAGGUAGGCAAAUCCUUGACCAGUCAAAUUGCAAAUGAAAUUGUGUAAGAUAACCGAGUUAAGAGGAAAAAAGGGUGGAUUUUGAAGCUUGAUCUCGAAAAGGCCUUCGAUCGUGUGGAUAGGGAUUUCCUUGAAAAAUUUAUGUACAGUAAGAAUUUUGACCAGGAAUGGAUCCCCUAAAUUAUGGGCUGUCUAAAAAUGCCAAGAUACUUUGUUCUCAUUAAUGGGAAGCCUCGAGGUCAUAUUUUUGCUUCUAGAGGAAUUAGGCAGGGUGAUUCCCUAUCCUCUUUCCUUUUCCUUUUAACAAGCGAGGUUUUGGGAGCCCUUUCGAACAAGCUAGCUGCAAACGGGCAUUAUGAAGGCUUGUAGCUGGUAGGGAGAAGGUACAAAUACCCAUUCUUCAAUUUGCAAACGAUACCCUUCUUUUUUGCAAGCAUGAUGAAAGCAUGCUAAUUAAAUUGAAGGACACAAUUGCACUCUUCGAAUGAUGUUCCGGGCAGAGAACUAAUUGGAAGAGGAUGAGCUGAAACUUAUCGCUGAAAAGAUGGGUUGUACCGGAAAGAAGAUGCCAUUUUUAUACUUACGGCUUCCAUUGGUGGGUUAUCCGAGACAAGCUACUUUUUGGCAGCCCAUGAUUGAUAAAGUGCAGAGGAAUUUAGACAAAUGGAGAAGAUUUAAUCUGUCAAGAGGAGGAAGAACAACUUUAUGCCAAUUCAUACUGGCUAGUCUCCCCACAUAUUAUAUGUCUUUGUUCGCAAUGCUGGACAACAUAGCCUCCUCUUUGAAGAGACUAAUGAGGAAUUUUUUAUAGGAGGGGCAUUCAGGAAGCAAAAUCAACCACCUAGUUAAAUGGGCUAAAGUUAUUCGGUGUCAACAUAAUGGAGGUUUGGGUUUGGGAGCACUGCAAAAUAAAAACUUGUCUCUUAUUGCCAAGUGGGGCUAGAUAUUUAUGAAUGAAGAGGAUUCUUUAUGGAGGCAAGCUAUCCAAACCAUCCAUGGAAAAGAACCAUUUAUCUGGCACACAGUUGGUAAUUCUGGUUAUAGCCUAGAAAGCCCUUGGAUUAGUAUCUCAAGAGUUUGGGGAAAGGUGGAGUCUGUAAAGAUACUACAGGUGUAACUUAUUAUAUUGAAUUUCCUCAACGAUUACAAUAUGAAAUUAAUCACAGAAACUUGUUCGCGAUGAUCCUUCAAUCAGAAACGCAACUAAUAACUACUGAAGUAAUCCUUCAAUCAGAAACGCAACUAUGAACUACGAUCAACAAUAAUAAUGAAAACUAAGAACAAACAAUAGAACCUGAACUCUCUGCUUUCCUUCCCGCGCAAGGAGGAAUGCAGCCUCUCUUCUUCUCCGAAAAUAUCUUUGAUUCCCUUUUUUCUCUUUCUUCCUCUUUUAUUCUAUUUUGCUAACUAACUACUGGGCCCCACCAGAAUGGUCCCCAUCUUCCUCCCUCUCUCCUGAACUCUCACAUGUGGCUUUAUUGUUAUUUUUAUUUCUUCUGCUGUAUUUAAACAAUAUUGGAGGCCUAGCAGAGUCCUUGGCCUCUUUCAAACUUGGUGAUGGCUCAGGAACUACUUUCUGGACAGAUGGGUGUAUUGAUAACCUUUCCCUUUGCAAUCUUAGGAUUGCUCUCUUGGUCUAUAAUCUUCAGAAGGUUUCUCAAAGAUAAUGAGAUUCUGAACUUUCAAAACUUGAUGACUCAACUGGUAACUAAAAGUGUUACAAGCAAUCUUUUAAUAGAAGGUUAUGGUCUUUGGAAGCUUAUGGAAACUUUACAGUCAAAUCUGUCACAAGACACCUCUCGGUUUCUUCUCCUUGUGACAAGGAUCUGCAUAAAGCUUUGUGAAAAUCCAAACACCUAAGGAGAGUAAACAUCCUCAUUUCGGUUAUUAUCUUUGGACUACUGAAUUGCGCUUCAGUCAUGCAAAGAAAGUUACCAAACAACUGCUUAUCACCCUCAAUAUGCCCACAAUGCAGCAAGAAGGAGACGAUUUACCGCAUCUGCUUUUUGCUUGUUCCUACUCUGAAAAUUGUUACUGGAAAUUCUUCUCAUCUUUUGUAGUAGUUUGGGCUUUUGAAGAUUCUUUUAGCCUAAAUGUACAGCAAGUUUGUUGGGGCCCAUCUUAAUUAAAAAUCCGAGGCUAAUCUGACCAAAAUUAUCGAAGGCUGUGCUAGCAGAAAUUUGGUCUGAACAAAACCAAAGGAUUUUCCACAACAAGGAAAUGCAUUGGUUAGAUAAUUUUGAGAUAGCUAGUAGGAACGUUGCAGCUUGGUGUACUCUCCAAAAAGACUCUGAAGCAUUCUCCAUUCAAGAAAUCAGUCUCAAUUGGCAGGCACUCAUUUUACCAAAUCAUUAGUAGUCACUUUCUUCAUGAAUGGUGGUCUGCAGCCACCACUGAAAAAUUAAUUGUUUUACUGAUUUGUACUGCUGCUGUUUUUUCGAUGUUGUUUGUAGUUUUUGUUUGGCUCCACAGCACAUGUUGUUUGUACUCUGGACAGACUUUAAUUUGUACUUUGGGUAUUAUUUUUGUUGGAUAUAAUGUGAGAGCACUAAGGCGGUGUCAACCUAGUUGAGAUGUCUGGGUGCACCUCCUAAUCCCUCUUGGUCUCCUUUGAUUACUAUUUCUUUUUGGCUCUCUUUGUCUGACUCUAACUCUCUUGUACUUUGAGUUAUUUUUAAUAAAGAAAUUCUUGUCUCCAUUUCAAAAAAUAUAUAAACCUUUUGUACCUUGAAAUACGUUAUUCUUAUCAAUAAAGAGGCUGGUUUCCUUUUAAAAAAAAAUUAGGGUUUAGGGUUACAACAACAUUGAAAAAUAAAAGCAAGAUUAUUGAGAAAACAAAAUUUUCUCAUCAACAUUCUACCUAAACACUAAAAGUCAAGAUCCUGGGUGAAAUUUACACCUAACUCCCAUGGUCUUCCUAUCAGCUAGCUAAUCUGCUAUCAGUGUAAAAUCAUGAAACUUCAUCGUAUUUGUUUACUGAACUUUGAUACCAAAGCUCCAAUAGAGUCCAUAAGGGUAAAAGUGGAAAUUUUUUCUAAGGUUUACAAUUUUAUAUGAGAUCUUAAAAGCCUGGACCAAAAACGUAUUGGAGCUUUGAUUUAUGGGGAUAAGGAUAUCAUUUGAUUCAAACACUAAUUACUUUGUUGUACAGCAUAUUACCUUCUAUUCUGCAGAGUGGCAGUAUUUAGAUCUGAAUUCCUUGUGAUUUUGCACCAUUCAUGUUUUUCAACAGAUGUGGAUUUUGUCUCCGAGAAGAUAACCGUCUCAUCAGAGUUUAUCUCAAUAUCCGCAUACAUUUUAUCAGUUGGAACUGGAAAAGAAAAAAAUAAGAUGGCUAAUUAACUUCAAAAAAUGAUGCCAAUAUAUAAUGCAGUAGUCUUUUUCAUUUCUUUAAUUAGAAAAUUGCAAUAGAUUAUAAACAUUUGAGUAUUUAGGGUUCCCAUCUAACAAGAACACUCGAGAACAACAAAGAAUAUAAAAAAAAUAGGAAGAUAGAAAUAUAAUUGUAAUAUCAAUGAAGAAACUAAAAUAUAAGAGCAAUAUCAAGAGGGCUACUCUCUCCCAAAUUCUCCACUGGAAAUUUUACUAAAACCUCCCACCUUCCUCCCCAUCCCACUCCCUCUAUUUGUAUCUAAAAGUCCUAAUCAACUUACUAGCUAUUACUAAUAUGCCCUUGCUCAUAUUCAUACCAAUAGUGCUAAUAUACCUCUAAACAAUGGCUCUCACAUAGUACUUCUCUUCUUGUUUGCAUUGUAUGCCAAGAAACACUUGGAGCUUGCAAACAUCUUAUAUGUAAUUUUUCAUUUUGUCAACGGAAAUUUUCCAUCUCAUUUCAAAAAGAAAAAAAAUUGAAGAAAUUAUAGAAACAUACCUAAGUACAUAUUAAAACAUGUGGAUUCAUAUAAACAUUUACUUAUCCUUUUGAUGAUAUUCAGUUUCUUAUAACAAAUGAAUAAAUAAUGGAUAAAUGUUUAUUCCAUAUUAAAAGGUCUUAACUUUUAAUUAAACUAUUUUUUCAUUUUUCUCCUUUAUAAGAAAGUAAAUGCCUCUAAACGUAAGCCUAAAAUUUUGUUCACUCUCCCACAUGUAAGCCUAAACUCAACAAAACCUUUCAACUUCAUAUUUGGUUAAAAAAGCAUAAACAAUAAAUUUCUGAACUUUAUAGUUAUUAGCUUAUGCUCAAGGAAUUGCUAAACAAUUAUGAUAGCGAACCUAGUGGUAUGUAAUAGAUAUUUUAAAAUUUUCCAAUAAAUUUAAAAAUAACUCUUUCAUAGAAAUUAUUAAUAACCAAUAUCUACAGUCUACUAAAAAAACCUAAAGAAUAAAGUAAGAAAAUGCACAAUCCAGGAACACACAAGACAAGUAUGAUGUAGCAUGACUAGGUAUCCUUGUAAUUUAGUUUUAAUUUGUUUUUUUCUUCUUUUUUUUUCUUUUGAUAAAACAACCUGCUUUCAUUGAGAAAAAAUAAAAGGAUACAUGGGCAUACAAAAACAACCAGCCCACCAAAACACCCCAACUAGCCGAAGGGGGACCGACUAAGUAUUGAGAACUAACAGAUAACAAAUUAAAAUCAACAAAUUCAAACUAAAAUAAAGGGGUAAUCUCUUGUAAUUAAAAUACUGUUUGAAUAACAGUAACAGCUUGGUUGAGUAUUCUUCGAGAUUAUUCACUUAGAUGCUAGAUUACAUCAUUUUUUGGUAUUAGAGGAAGAAAAAUAGCUAUUCAAGAUAAGUGGUAGCAACCAAAAUUCCAACAUAGGAAAUUGAGAGAAAGGCUUCUUGAAAGGAAAUCAUCCCAAAGGUGUAAUCUUGAUAUUAAGAUCUGUAAAUGACAAUAAACGAUUGAGAGGCUUUUUUUUAUGGUCAAGUUAUAGCUUUCCCUCUUUCUAUUUUGCAAUUUUCUUCCACUUGCAACUUUUGUUUUCCCACGUCUACACAUUGUAGUCUUUGAAUCCUUGUACUCUUUUAUAAAUUUUCAAUCAUUUGUGAAAUUUUGUGUUUCUUGUUUUUUUUUCUAAUAUAAAUACAUAUAUUUUAAUGACAAAUAUGUUCAAGAAUAAUUUUCAAUCCACCAUCAAUUUUAAUUCAUGCAAAUCCAUGAUCGUAUUACAACUACCUUGUUCAUGGAAAUUGAGACAAACUUUAAUGUAAUCAUUUCCUCAAGGGUAUGGGAAUCCUUCUAAGAACGUGAAAGCUUUAUCCCGUCACUUUUUCAUGUUAAAGUAAAAAAAUUUUGAGAAAAUUGGAAUGGAAGAUAUAUAGAUUUUGAGCUAUAAAUUCAGAGAGGUUAAAUAAACUUUGAUUCAUUUGAUCGUUUUCGAUGACUAGAUGUGUUCUUUGCAUGGAUGUUCUUGUAAAAUUUUCCCAUGCUUUCUGUGAUCAUUUAAGUUAAGUGGGAGAGUACGAUUCCUAAUCGUUCUUUUUCUCUUCCUCUUGUAUAUCUUUCAUCAAAAUAGAAAUUCUUUAAUUUCUAUACUGUCUGCCUAUUUCCCUAAAAUGAAUUUAAAACACCGAAAGAAACAUUAGUGAGACAAUUACCUUCUACUAUGUAAAUCAUACUGCUAACAGUUCAUGAAAUCAAAUACAAAUGAAACAUUGAACUUCCAUCAUUGUCAAACCUAGUUCAACUCCCGUACCAUCAAAAUCAUUUCCUCGAUGACAUUAUCUUCCCCAGUAAUUUCAACCCAGACUUCAAACUGAAGAAAACUUUUUCAGGAUAGUAACAAAUUUUUGUUUGCAAAGAAUGCAAAAAAAAAAUUAUAAAAAAAAAAUGCCCAACUCUCAAAUGCUGAGCAAAAGCAAAUGAAACAGAGAAUCCACUAAUGCAAAACGGAUUAGCCAUCGGAUCAGUCAAACAAGAGACAGACUGAUGAAGAACUCAGGGAGGAGGGACAUGGGAAGAUGAAACAUACUUAGCUUCGCCCAGUUUUCCAUGGAUGAAUUUGAAGCAGAGCACUCUCCAAUUUCCGCCAUACCGCCAGUAGGAGAAGGAGAAGAUUGAGAAUUUUGAAAUGAAACAAUUUUUAUUGACAAAUACAAACACCCAAAAGCUUAAAAGAAAGUUAUGAAGCUUUGCGGAGGAAGGUGUGGAGUAAACGGCUGAUGACUUCGUCCUACGUGGACGCACGUAUUAAAUUUACUCAAACUAUUUAUUUAUUUUAUAUGUAGUGGGUGCAAUUUCUACUUACAAAAUUCAUCUAAUUUCAUAGAGUUUUUUAAAACUAUUUUACUAUAUUUUAUAAAUAGUUUUAAUUUUAAAAAAUUGGAAGGAAUAGCCUAGUUAUAAAUUGAUAUUUCAUAAAUGUCAUAAUCUUAAAUAUUCUUUUUUGUUACGAGAUUUACUCUUAUAAUUCAAUCGAAUUUAUGGUUAUGUUUAAAAAUCUAUUUAUUAAAAACAUAAUUAUUUCUCAUUAUUUGAUGGAAAUAAAUAUUAAUGAUGUCUAGUAGGAGAGAUGAAUUUUGUAUUUUGCAUUAAUUCUACAUUUUCAUUCUUAAUAUAUAAUUCGAAGAUGAGUGACAUGUCACUCCAACCAUGCCCCAAUAAUGUCACUUAUCUUCUAACACUCUUAAUAAAAUUUCUUCUUACCUUCCUUUCACCAAGGCUACUACAAGAAUCUUUAAAAGACUUUAAGGAUCCCAAGGUUUUAGGUUUCAGUAGCUGAACAAUGACAACAACAAAAACAAAGGAAGGAAUAAGUGGCUAAAAUGAAGUGAGCUCAAAUAAUCUUUCCACUUUGUGAUUCGUUCUAAUCAUCUAUCUCGUUUGUGGAUCAUGAACUUGACAACCAUGAGAAGAGAAAGGCAAUUAAACCAAAAUCACGUAAUUAUCCAACAGACACAAGAUUAAAGAGCAGGAUAAAAGUAUGGUAAGUCUUGGACAAGUUUAUGGCAGGACUAUCAACAAUGCCAACAAAAGAAAUUAACAUGUGAUUACCAUUAGCGAGGUACUCAUUGACAGGCACCGUCUCUUGAUUGGUGAUGACUAAAGCAUUGUGUAAUUAGCAGUAGUGAGCUAAGCCUAUGGUUUGAAACCGUGCAACAAAAAAAUCCUAAAGCCCUUUCAUAGUGUUGAAAGCAUCAAAAUGAGUAUGGAUUGAGGGGAUAGAAGUAUUACCUAAUCAGGUGGUGAUUUGAUGAUUUUUGUUGUCCCAAUCAUUCAGCAAACUUAUCCUCUUCCUCAGUCGUCCCAAUCGUUCAGCAAACUUACCCUUUUCCUCAGUCUCAAUUGUUCAGGGGUGGUUUCUUGGCUAGAUGGGUUUUGGUUUUCGUGGUUUGUGGUUUGUGGCCAGAUGGGUGGUUUCAAGGUGGUAGGUGGUUUCAUAGCCAAAUGGGUUUGGUUUUACAGUUAUAUGGGUGGUUUCAUGGCUUGCUCAGAUGGGAUUAAAACAAGGGCUCUUAUCACAGCCCGCCCCACACGCGACUUGAAGCUUAUUAUACUAUACGCGGUAUAACUUUGAGCAGUCCUAGUGCCUCUAAGGUGAAACGCUAAACCACUCAGCUUAGGUUCUAAGUCUUGAUACUUGGCUUUAUUGCCUAACUCAAAUUUAAGUCCAUUUAACUCACUAAGCGAUAAAGAAAACAUAACACAACACAACUAACAGAAACUUAAACUUUUAUUAACUUAAACCAUGAGUUCUACAUCAAGCUUUACAAACUAAGACUUUACAAACUACAAAACUAAAACAACUUGAACUAAACGUGUAACGCCCUAAACAUAGGAUUUGAACUAGGAUUCAAAAUUCAGAUCUCGACAUUCCCUGGCAGCAUCAUCCAUACUGUCUUAGGCAAAAUGAAGUAACGGUGAUACUUAUAUGCUUGAACAUGGUUAGACUUAAUUAGGCUAUCAAAACGAUUUUGGACUUAAUGGUAUAUGUGAUGUCUUUUGUUUCAUAAAUGUUCUAAGAGUUACAUGUGAUGUAAUUGAUAAGGUUGUCUACCUAAAUAGCUUGAUUUUAAGUGUCAUGCCAAAGUUGACUUGAAAUCUUGGUUGUCUACCUAAAUAGCUUGAUUUUAAGUGUCAUGCCAAAGUUGACUUGAAAUCUUGGAUCUUAGUUCACCAAAUUAAAUUCAUUAUUAUGAAUUAUCAUUUGAGGGUAUGACUUUUUUUUUUUUUUUUUUGCAAAGGUAUUGUAAUAAAUGCUGGGGUGUGGAUUUGAACCUGAAACCUCUUGUCUAUAAGAAUAUAAAGAUGUCAGUUGAGCUAAGCUCAUAUUAGUGGGAGUAUGUAAUGCCCCAACUCUUUGUACUAACUUGAGGUCGUUACCGUAAAGAUAAAUAACAAUUUUGACAAUUUCUUAGUUCACCAAAUUAAAUUCAUUAUUAUGAAUUAUCAUUUGAGAGUAUGAUUUUUCAGUGGGAGUAUGUAACACCCCAACUCUUUGUACUAACUUGAGGUCAUUACCUUAAAGAUAAAUAACAAUUUUGACAAUUUCUUGAAAAUAGUAAAACUAAAUUUUAGUUAAAAAAUACCAUGAAAGCAUGUUGCAGCUUGUUUACAAAUUUUAAAGAUAAUAAGAAUAAAUAGAUCAAAAUGUUUAACUGAAAAACGAACAAUGAAAAGUGGAAGCAAAACUAAGUCCCCAUAUGACAUGUCACGAGCCAAUGUGCCUCUACCCUUAGCCUUCGUGCAACUAUUAAUUCUUCACCACGAUGCUUCUCCAACUCCAUCUUAGUUCGCGCUGGAAACAAAUACGAGCUGUAAGCAUCAAUCCCAAGCCACACGCGCCGAUCUGCGCUCUUUGUCGAGUUGUUUCUUGCCCUUAGCCAUUGUUGAUAUAAAUCCUUGGUGAGUUUUGAUUGGGUUUAGGUAUACCCAUCAAAUAUUAAAUAUUGGUCUAAAAUAAAUUUACUUUGGAUUAAAGUUUUCUUUUUCCUUGAAGGUGUUAUUGGGGAAAUAACCCCCGAAUUCUUGAGUUUACGAGAAGUUUGGUUUGGAGUUCAAUUCUCCAUUUACUUGGGUAACUUGUGGAAUUCACAUUUGGGUGAAUUGAAUGAAGGAAUUUGUUUGUGAAAGUGAUUUGAUUUUCUGUUUAAUUUUGUUUUGGUUGGUUUGUUUGGAUUUUUGUUCAAACAAGGAAUUUAGCUAAGCUCAAGGUAAGAGAUUUCUACUACUGGACCUUAUAUUGAACUUGGAAUGUAUUGACUAAAAGGGUAUGAUUGUUGUGCAUAAGCUUGGUUGUAUUAAUGACUUAUUACGAUGAUGAUUGGAUAUGUACUAGUAUGGUUAAUUUGACUGCUUAUGUGUUGAACUGAAAUAUUGUGGAUAAAUUGGAAUGUAUUUAUGAGUUGAUUGUAUUUGACUGUUUAGACUGGAUUGUGAUUAUCUAAACUGAGGGGACGUUUAUCUAUGGGGUAGUGUAUCUUGCAGGCACAGUGUCUUACGAGAUCACCACUUAUUGUGCAUCAUUUGGGAUCACUAGACUGAUAUUUGAAUCCUUCAUGAUCACUCGACUGAGAUGUGCAUCAUUCAUGAUCACUCGACUGACAUGUGCAUCAUUCAGGAUCACUCGACUAAUAUGUGCAUCCUUCGGAAUCACUAGGCUGAUAUGUUUAUCCUUCGAGAUCACUAGACUGAGAUGUGCAUCCUUCAGAAUCACUAGGUUGAUAUGUGCAUCAUUUGGAAUCACUCGGCUGAUAUAUGCAUCCUUUGAAAUCACUAGUCUGAUUGACUUGCAUCCUAUGGGAUCACAAGACUGUUAUGAUGCAUGGUACCUCCUAAUAGGAAGUUAACAAUUAUACCUCUAACGUGACCAGUAUUAGGUCGCUUACUGCGUAUACUUUUAUACUCACCCUUUUAUGUUUAACUUUUUUAGGAAAAGAUAAUAUAAGAGGUAGACCGAUGAGGGACAAGGACUCGUGAAUGCCAGAAUAUUUAUAAAAAAAAAUGCUUACACUUACUGUUGUAAUGUUUUACCCCUUUUAAACUUUGAUGAUUGAAAUGAGUUUCAUGUUUAGAACAAUGAUUUUUUUCUUGGUGACCUGAAAUACAAUACUUUUGAACUUUUAAUUUUGUUUGAAGUAAGCCCGAAUAAAGUUUCUUUUAUGUUUAUUUGUUUUUAAACAGAUUUUUAUGAUCUUUUGUGUUAAAACGAAGUUGUUUUAUGUUAAAGUAAUGAUCUCAACUUCAUUUAAAAAGUUGGAUCGUUACAGUUGGUAUCAAAGCCUAAGUUUUAGGUUAUAUAUACUGACUUAUGAUGUAAGUUUAUGCUUAGGGUCUCUAUGACUAAAACAAUCCUUCGUCACUAUUCAGGUACACUUUCAUGAUUAAUAUGUUUGGUUUAUGUUUAUGACCUUGCCUAAGUUAAACUAGAAUUACAUGAAUGUUAUGAUUUAAUGGUGAAGAAUUUGGUGGUGAAAUUUAAGAAAAAUGUCUCCACGAAAGGUGCUCGAAUAGGUGGUCGAGUAGGCAGAGGAGUAGGACGUAAUCAACUUAAUUGACUGUUUUGUGCUAAAAAUCUAAGAAAUAAGUUAUGUUGUUGGUUUUAAAGGGAACUAAAUACAUGGUUAAGCUUGAGUAUAACAAUUGCAUUGGAUUGUGUUUAGAAUUAAGACAUUGGGGAAGAAACAUGCAAAGAAAAGUUUAGUGCAUAGUUGUCUUGAUGAGACUUCAAGAAACCAUUUUGAGCCUACUAUGAAGAAAACGUUACUAGCUUGAAAUUUGAAAAUGAAAUGUAAUUUUUUUAUACAUGCAAUUAUAGACUGUUUCAGCUAAGAGGUAGUUUUAAUCCUCCUACAGAGGCUAGUUUAAAAAACAACGGGAUUAGGACUGUGGUCCUAUCCAAAGUCAUUUAAGCUAUGAAAGCUAAUAAGCUGCUCAACCAGGAUACCUGAAGUAUCUUGGCUAGUAUUGUAGACACCGAGAAUGCUGAUGUUUCUUUGACAUCAGAACUUGUGGUGAGAGAUUAUUUGGAUAUUUUUCCAGAGGAACUUCCAUGUUUUCCUCCUCAAAGGGAGAUUAACUUUGCCAUUGACUUAGAACCAGACAUUGUUCCUAUAUCUAAAGCUCCAUACAAAAUGGCCCCAGCAGAGUUGAAAAAGUUGAAAGUGCAAUUGUAGGAAUUGCUUGACAAAGACUUCAUUCGACCAAGUGUUUUACCUUGGAGUGCACUAGUUUUGUUUGUUAAGAAGAAAGAUAGGUCGAUGCGCUUAUGUAUUGACUACAGAGAGUUGAAUAAGAUGUCUGUUAUGAACAAAUAUCCUUUGCCUAGGAUUGAUGAUUUAUUUGACUAGUUGUAGGAAGCCACAAUACUUAUGUUGUCAUGAGCAAAACUUCCGUACUUAUGAUAUGGAAUUAACAGCAAGGCACUACUUGUAUGAUGAGAAAGAUACAGAUCUUUAAGGACCAUAAGAGCUUGAAAUACUUCUUCACUCAGAAGAAGUUAAACAUGAGGUAUCGAAGGUGGGUUGAGUUAGUAAAGGAUUAUGACUGUGAGAUCUUGUAUCAACCAAAUAGCAAGAAUGUUAUAGCUGAUGCUCUACUUAGUACGAAGGUAUCACAUUCAACAACACUUUUACUAGACAGGCUCCAUUGCACCGAGACUUUGAGAGAGUUGAGAUUACCAUUUCAUUAAGGGAAGUCACCUCACAUUUAGCUCAGUUGUUAGUGUAGUCGACUUUGAGGCAGAUAAUUAUUGUUGCUUAGCGUAAUGAUUCUUAUUUUGUUGAGAGGGGCUACCUGGUAGAAUCAGGAAAGCUGAUGAGUUCUCCAUAUCCUCUGAUGAUGUGCUUUUGUUUGAGGCGAUUGUGUGUGCUAGCAUAUAGUACAGUUAAGAUAGAUUUUUUUACUAAAGCUCGUAGUUCCCCAUUUUCCAUGCAUCUAGGUAGUACAAAGAUGUACUAGGACUUGAAACGAGUUUACUGGUGGCGUAAUAUGAAGAGAGAAGUGACGGAUUUUGUUAGUAAAUGUUUGAUGUGCUCACAGGUUAAAGCAUCGAGAUAGAAACCAGUAGAUUUGUUGUAACCUUUGAGUGUGCCAGAGUGAAAGUGGGAGAAUGUGCCUAUGGAUUUUAUUAUAGGGUUGCUUAGAACCUUGAAGGGUUAUACAGCGAUUUGGGUUGUUGCUGAUAGGCUCAUGAAAUCAUCAAAUUUUAUUCUAGGGGAAUUCACUUAUAUUGCUAGUAAGUUGGUAGAGCUAUAUUUGACUGAGAUAGUGAGACUGCAUGGAGUGCCUGUAUUGAUUGUUUCUGACAGAGAUGUCUGUUACACUUCUAAGUUCUAGAAAGGACAUCAGACUUCCUGGACACGGGGUUGGAUGUCUGUACAACUUUUCACCAACAGACUAAUGGUCAAACUGAGCAUUUGAACCAAAUUUUGGAGAAUAUGCUACGAGCUUGUGCAUUGGAUUUUCCUUGGAGUUUGGACUCUCACUUGCAUUUGAUGGAGUUUGUGUAUAAUAACAGUUUUUAGGCUAUCAUUGACAUGACAUCGUCUGGUGAGAAGAGAUUGAUGGGUUCUGAGUUAGUUCAAUCUACUAACAACACUAUAUAGAAGAUUAGAGCACAUAUGCAGUCAUCACAGAGUAGACAGAAAAGUUAUGUGAUGUAAGUAUAAAGAUCGUAAGUUUGAUGUGGGAGAUUAAGGUGUUCUUGAAAGUGGCACCUAUGAAGGGUGUUCUACGAUUUGAAAAGAAUGGGAAGUUGAGUCCUUGUUUUGUUGGAUCGUUUGAGAUCUUAAAGCGAAUUGCCACCAUCACUCUCUGUUGUUCAUGAUGUUUUUCAUGUUUCGAUGUUGAGAAAGUACGUCGUAGAUCUAUCUCAUGUAGUAGAUUACGAACCAUUGAAGAUUGAUGAGAGUUUGAGCUAUGAAGACAACCAAUUAAGAUUUUGGCUAGAGAGAUAAAAAUGUUUUGUAACAGAUGAAUUACUUUAGUAAAAGUUUUGUGGCGGAAUCCAAUGGAAUAUGCUACAUGAGAGAGAGAAGAUGAUAUGUGAGCUCGUUACCCAGAGUUGUUCGAGGAUUAGAACUUUCGAAGACGAAAGUUUCUUAAGGAAAGAAGAAUGUAACACCAAAAAAAUUUGAGGUAGUUUUUCUAACUUGUUCGUCUCAUUUUAUUAGAUUUUUAUAUGUUUGGGUGUUAAAUUGUUGGAGGCUGGUAAGGAAAAAAGGAAUAUUUUGUUAAAAGGGAAAAGAAAAAGGAAAAGGAAAGGAAAAUGAUAAUAUUAAUAAUAAUAUAAUUUUUUAUUAUUACUAUAAAAAAUAAAAAAGAAAUAUAUCAUUUCGUAUGCCAUCUCUUUCCCUCACUCUCCCUCUUCUUCUUCUCCUCAUGACCUAGCCGCCCAUUAAGGAUCUCACCGAUGUUUGUCUUUUGCUUUCUUGGCGUCGUUUACAGUUCAAGUCCCGACGAAACUUGGAGGAGUUUGAGUCACAUUGUGCAAAGUUGUUCGACGUUGGUUGCAAGCUGACAUCCUUCUUCGUUUGUGCAUCGUUUCUGUUCUCAGUUCGUCUAAGAUCUACCUCACCACUGAAGAGUCGUCGCUGUAGCUAUUCAUUGUGCCUCGUUCUCUGUCGUAAAGCACCACCCUCGUGUAGCCGUUCUCCGUCGUUACGCUUCUCCAACUCUGUCUUAGUCCACGCUGGAAACGAAUUCGAGCGUCAGAUUUAGUCCCAAGCCACACGUGUCGAUCUACUCCUUGCUAAGCCAUUUCCUGCCUUUAGCCGUUGUUGAUCACUCCUUGGUGAGUUUUGAUUGGGUUUAGGUAUACCCAUCAAAUAGUAAAUAUUGGUCUCUAAAAUACAUUUACUUUCUAUUAAAGUUGUAUUUUAUGUUGAAGGUGUUAUUGGGGAAACAAUUUGGGUUCACGACAAGUUUGGUUUGGAGUUCAAUUCUCCAUUUACUUAGGUUAUGUUCAAUUCUCCAUUUACUUAGGUUAUGUUCAAUUCUCCAUUCAAUUCUCCAUUUACUUAGAUUACUUGUGGAAUUCACGCCCAAACGAAUUCUCCAUUUACUUAGUAACUUGUGAAAUUCACGCUCAAACGAAUUCUCCAUUUACUUAGUAACUUGUGAAAUUCACGCUCAAACGAAUUCUCCAUUUACUUAGUAACUUGUGAAAUUCACGCUCAGUAAAACUUGUGGAAUUCACGCUCAAACGAAUUCUCCAUUUACUUAGUAACUUGUGAAAUUCACGCUCAAACUCUUAGAUUUGACUUUUUUCUAUCUCUACUAUCAAUAUAAUUAAAUAAUUCCAUUUGACUAUUACUUAACUAUAUAAUUCCAAACUCUUAUUAAAUAUGUUUAUUAUGUAUUAUUUAAAUUUAUACUAGCAAAAUUGUUAGUAAAUUAUUUAUGAUAUAAUGGUAUAACUAAUUGAGCAACUAAAAGAUAUAUAUUCCAUUAUCACGGAGAAAGUUGGUGCAAUCUCGUGCAUCAAUAAAAUCCUAUAUCAAUUUACUUAGGAUUUAAUAAUGUUGAAACAUGGUUUGUAAAAUACAUUGUAUUUUUCAAAUCUGCACGAGCUGUCCCAUGAUGGAUUCAUUAAAAUACAUUGUCUAUGAAUUACCCUAGAAUUCAGUAACUGCACGCAUCCGUCGUUUGGUAAAUAUGUUAUUUCCAUCGGUUUUUGCUAUACUUUCAGAUGCUAUCUUAAAAUUUGCUAUUUCCCUACCGUUAUCUCUAAGGUUUAGCUUUUGUUGUGACGACAUGGUAAAAUUUGAUUUGGUCCAAGUUUCUCAUUUAACAAGUAUAUCAAUCAUGUUUCACUUUGUGUUGAUGGUAUGUGUUUUUUUGCAUGUACAUUAUUAUUAUUAGACUGCAUAAAAAGAAACGCAGCAAUGAUGAACACAAAAUGACUCAAGGUAGAUAAGUAUUUGGUAUUUUACUUAUACCAAUGCUAAUAUAUUGUUGAUAGAUAAUUAAAGACAUUGAGAGUACACUUAUUUAGGCAUAUAUUGUGAAGUAGAGAGAUGAGCCUCAUAUUAAUGUUUCUCCUCGUACUGGAGAACAGGUUCAAAAGAUUGGAAGUUAUACACUACGCCUAAGGGUCGGAUAGUCGUAGAUGCCGACACCUUGACCUUAUAUGUCCAAUUUAUUUUUCCAGCGUUUAUAGCCUCCAACACAAGCUCAUAUACUGUCCCUCCAAGAGGAGAAAAUGGGUCAACAAAUCCUGCAAAUAAACCAUUCACCACACGCACGAACUUCAGAUUUUCACCUGUUUUCUUGUUAUGGUCAUCCACUGUUAAGUUUCCUAUUUCUUGCACUUGCGGAUCAUUGAUAUCCUUAAUCGGUUCAAAAGGGGAUGUGAACGACAUUUUUAAUGGCUUUUUUAAUUUGUACUUGGAAGAAACUUUCUAAGGAUGAUUUAUGC